ACGACAUGAAUAAUUCACAUGGAUCAGAAAAAAAGAAAGAAUUAUUUUUACUUGUGAAGCACUUUAAUAUGUCUAGUUAGAUAGCAUCAGCUUGGGUUAUCUUUUUUUUUUUUUUUUUUUUAAAUGAUCUCAUCACCAACACCAAAUCAAAACACUUUCUACGAGUCAUGGGCGACCAUUUGACAACAUCAACUCAAUCAUAUCACUUAAUAGUAACUAAUUCAAAUCAAGCAAUCCCAUGAAAUGAAUGCUUGGUAUAAUUUGUGUUAUUAGUAUGCUUUCCACAAAUGCAUCGUUGUUCUUCCUAACUUUGGAUGAAAUAAUUUUAUAAGAAAAAAAAAAAAACACGAAAGAAGGACAGAAAAAAAGCCAGAGUAGUUUGAAACACUUAACCUGCCACAACACUUAAGAGACCCGUUAGCCAUGAUUCCUAUCCGAUCUCCAAGUUCCUCAGCUUCAUCCAUGGAAUGUGUUGUCAACAAUAUUAUUCUACCGUUUUUAAUUUUCUUAAUUAACUGCCAUGUAAGACGCAUUGAAUACGGAUCCAUUCCACUGGUUGGUUCAUCGAGAAUGAUCACCUGAAAGAUGAAGCAUAUUCAACGACAGCUAAUUACAAGAAACAUACGAAAUAAGAUGUAUUUGUGUUUCCUUCUCACCUUACUGUUUCCUAUCAAUGCGAUUCCAAGUGACAAUUUCCUCUUCAUGCCUCCAGAAAGCGCCCGUACAAGUGUACUAAUUUUAUCAGACAAUCCCACCUGGAUAAAAUCAAUACCCAAGAUCAGACAGCUGUAACCUAUACCCAAAAUUGGCAGGGAAGACAACUACAGAUUUUCAUAAAAUGUCCUUCUGUCCUCCAAAACUAUGAUCAGACUCAAACUUAGGCAGUCUGAAUUUGUAAUGCUUUUAGGCCAUAACAGCAUUAGCAACCAGAGUCUAUGAAAUCGAAUUCAUAAAUCCAAGUGUGUGAAUGUGGUUUGUAAGAGAGGGAAAAUUCACAAAGCUUGUUAUUCACUACAUACUUACUUCCUCCGCCAUAUCAAGAACUGUGCUCUUCAAGGAAUCUUCUUCAACACCUUUAAGAACCGCAAACAUCUCCAAGUGUUCUCUAACCUAAAGUAGAUAUAAACAUCCAGACAUCAUAUUAUAACAUAUUUGGAUGGAAAAACAAAAAUGUUUAUAUUUGAACUAUAGAAGAUGUUCAAACAUCUUUUUUUUGUUCAAACAUCUUCAUAUUAUAACAUAUUUGGAUUACAGAAGAUGUUUGAACAAAAAAAGAGUUACAGUAAAAGAAUUUUUUAAAAAAAACGUAACAUCUGAGGAAUGAGCUCUGUAAUUUUGAAGAACAUGGGAAAACCUACCAAAUUUUCCCUAAAUGCAAACAGAAUGUCGUGUUUUCUUUCCUGGCCAUUUUUACACAAUUCUGAAAAAUUUUCUGUUUUCUUUCUUUGAUCAUAUAAGAAACUAAAGAUAAUAUAACCAUCAUAUUGGAUUCGAAUUGCAAGUAUCAGAAGUCAGAACCUGCACUUAGAAUAAGACCAGGAGACAAAGAAGGGAUUCACUUACUGUCAGUUCUGGAAAGAGGAUGUCAUGCUGAGGGCAAACACCUAGUUCUUUCCGUAUCUCAUCCUACCAAAAGAGAUUCAUAUAGUUAGAAACAAAAAUGCAAGAAACAGGGGGAAAAUAGUAUUCAAGUGAUGCUAGAAAAAAAGAAUGCAUCUUACUAGCAGUUAGAGCUUUAUCCACGAAAAUUAGAGAGUCAAGUAAUAACAACAAAAAAAAAUUACCAUGUUUGUUAUAAUACUGUUCCCAAGUAUCAGGGCAUCUCCAGACGUUGGGGGAAGAAGGCCAACAAGCAUUGAUAUUGUUGUGCUUUUACCAGCUCCAUUAUGUCCUGUAAGCAAAUGAAGCAAGAUAUAAAGAGAAUAUCAAGAUUAGCAAUGUCUAUUCUUCACUUGAUUUUCUUUGUUUCUGACAAUUAAGAUGCAUGCAUGGUGUUCAUGAAGUUAUUGCAGAGACUAAGAUUCAUCAGAGACAACAUUGAGAAGCCUGGGAACAGAAAAUAUCAAAAUAUAAUGUGUUAUAAGAAAGCUUUCUUAAUAUGUUAAAAAAAGAAUUACCCAGCAACGAAUUCAUAUAUCAAACUGACCAUUAGCUACACUGAACAUGCAACACAAGAGCUCGUGAACAAAAACUAUAUAUUUUGUUGGCCAAAAUGUAAUAUAUGGAAAUUCUCAGCGAUACGACACAGAAAAAAGCCACAACACUAAAUCCAAUCUACAAUUUCUGAAUUAUUACGAUUCUGACCUGGUACUCUAGUAAGCAAAUAUAAAUAAGGUAAGAGGAAAUGAGAAUGUUUAAUAAAUAGGAAAGACAUACCCAGAAGUGAAAGUAUCUGGUUCUCGUACAAUGUAAGUUGCAAUGAAUUAACUGCACAACAAUUUCCCCUUCUUGAGGCAUAGACCUUAUGAAGAUUUCUAACUUGUAUACAUCUACAGGGAAAACUUAAAAGGUGAAUUUAAUGUCCAGCUAUGUAAAACAUUAAUUGGAUUUUUUUGGUUGUGAUAUGAAAGUACCUCCCGUCAAGUUCUUGUUGCCUCAUUUCCAGGCUUAUUGAUUCAAUAACAGGAUCAAAAGGCUCUCCCUGAGUAGCCUUUAUAUUAUUAUCCGGAAACAUAUUAGUUUUGGGAUCUGGAUUUUGGAAGUCUUUUUUCUUUCUCCUAAAACACUUGCUGAAGAUGAAGUUCCAUGGGUACCGCACACCAUUUUCCCUGGGGAGGACCUGAGGAAAUGAACUCUUUGAUUAGGCCCAAACAAUGUCAAGAACCAAAAAAUUAGCUCACAAAAUUGAUCAUCACAUCACAGACAUCCAUUUUAAAAGGCAGGGAGUAAAUAUAGACAAGUAGCAAAAGAAGGUACCUUGUCCAGAUAAAGACCAAGUACGCAGUAAAGAAUAGAGUCGAGUAACAUCAUUAAGAGGCAGACAAAAAAACUUAUUCCAGACGAUGCCUACAUGAAGAUUGACCAAAAAAAGUUACAAAUACAAGGAGAAUCAACCUUGGCCUGUAGCUACACACAUAACUACCAUACCCGCCAUAUAUUGCUCCAACGAAGUCCAACAUGUGCACGCUCAUAAUCAGCAAAGUUGAUUGACCCAAGAGCAAAUGCAGUAGGCGAAAGAAAAGAAGCAACCACCUUCAAUACCCUAAAAGACCGACACUCAAAUUUACAUUAAUGUAUUCUAGACCAAAUGUUUGUGACAACAAGCAUAAUUUUUGCCUAUCCCUUAAACAUCUGUCACGGAAAGAAAAAAACAAAAACAAAAGAAAAAGCAUAAACAUACAUGGAGACAGAUUCAUCGUUUACAGUGUAGUAUGGGAAGAAGGCUCCGAGAAAGGCUAGAGUCCCAACUGCCACAGCUGUCUUUGCUCGAGUGAAAAAUGUUGAUAUCAUAAAUGAGAGCAUGAUUGCGCUGACCCCAAAUAAAAAGAAGUAUGUAAAGACUAAUGUCUUAUCACUAUACUUAAAGAGACUUCCCAUCGUACAAGCUGUGAUAAUCCCAGAGCACAAUGCGAACUGCAGAACAAAGUAUAGUUAGAAAAGAAAAAAGCGUCUGCUUUUUCCAGCUGAAGUCAAUAGUGUUGACAACUUGUGGUCUGAUCAUUGUUGUGGGAAGAGGCAAACAAAAGUUCACAAGUCAAAUUUCAAGCAGAAAAACCUGCCUGGAAUGCAUAAGUGAUAAACCACGAAAAAUGAAAUAUCUCAUCCUUCAAGCCCAUCAUGUAAAGUCCUUCUCUUAUUUUCUGUUCCUGCAAGCUCAAAAGAAAGAGGCCUGAGUGAAGCAAAUAUUGAUAAAAAAAACUAUUUGUAGACGUAAAAUACAUAACAGCUGUGUUCCAAUGUAAGCAAAGUAUAGAAACCCAAACCAACCUUCUCAAAGACAGAGUAGCUGAUAAGACGGGAGAUUGGAAACAGAAAUCCCAGAAGGUACCUGUUCAAGAAAAUUAUAUAUAAUCAUCCAAACCAUACAAAGGUUCAAAUACCAUACACACAUGUAGGGGCAAAAGAAACAUAGAGCAGGUGAUACAUACAACAGUCCCAUUAGACUUUUGACAAUGGAUUGAAACUCAUCAUCAGUAUACUCGCGGGUUGGAAAUGGAACCAUUCUUAUCACUGAUGGGCUAAACAGAGUCCAUGGCAGCUCAAAGCGUAUUGCUGAACCAAGAUUUGAAUGUGAUAAUGACAAGUCGACGUUUUGUUGCGAAGCAAAUAUAAUGAAAGAGUCUACCACCUGCUGAAGCUGCAAAAGGGUAUAAGACCAAUCAAAACUGGACGAAAACCAAAGAUAAAACCAAAGAUUUCAAGAAAUUCAGUUCAAAUCUGACGAAUUGAUCUAGUUUACUAAAAUAGAAACUACUAGUUUACUGUGUGAUAAUCUAACACCUGAUUUGGAAUUUCUCUGGUUAACCCUAUAUUCCCUAAAAAAGCAUGGAAGAUAAAGUCUACAGACAAGAAUUAUUUGGCUACUGUACUGCUUAGUAGCUUUAUGGGGAGAGCUACAAAGAUGAUAGAAGAAUCAUGGGCGCAUAAUAGACAAAAUUUAAAUGAAAAUAAAUAAAUGAGCAUACAGUCAAGAAUCCGCUGAAGCUGUAUUGCAUUGUUGGUAUGGUAUUAAUCCCCAUUUCCAGAUCAUUGAUAUAAGGUCCAUUUGUAUCCAUGAUUGACUUGACAUUGGGGAAUCCUGCGAAUGCCCAUGUGUGGUUCAAGCGGAUGCUAUAAUCAAAUAAAUGAGGUCCUUGUUCAUGGAAUACCACUGCUCCUUUUAUUUUUGGAUUCGAACAGUUCCUAAGCAAACAUGAUGAGGCUUUAUUAGUUUAACUAUAAAGCGAACAAAAAGCAUAGACAGCUAGUUAUAAGACUAUGUUACUCUGUGACGAUAAAAUGCAGACACACUGUACAUGUGAAGCCAAAAUAUCUCCCUUUUACCAACCUUGUUCAGGCUGUAUUAUCAUUAAAGGUGUAGCAUAUUGUAACAAUUAACCCAAGGAGAUACUACCAUUAUUCAAGAAAUCCUUACCAAAUCACUGGCCAAACAGAGAUAGAAUCACCAGACAUAUGUAAAGAAUUUUUUUGAAGGCAACAAGAAAGCAGGGAUGAAAUUGUCUUCCUAUCAGCUCGAACAAGAACAAAACAUACCUCACAUCGCUGCAGACACCGUAAUGCAUAGAGGUGAUAUAAGUUUCCAGUUCUACGUCAUCUUUAAAAAUUUUAGUAACUAGCUGCAGAAACAGAAGAGGCAAGGUGGAUUGACAUAUGAAUAGUAAACUGAGCCAAAAUGUCACUAAUAACUAAACCCUCUGUAAAAGAGGAAAUUAAAUGCCAAAAGAAAGAGUAAUAUCGACGUAGAAGAUUUCUAUGCAGUAUAAGAUGAAGAAGUGAUGAUACCCGCAGCUGGGGGAACUUCAGAGACAAAAUGUCGAUCAUGUUCUUUGUUUCAUCAGUGUCAGGUGCAAAAGCUAAAUACUCCCCCUCAGCAAGCAAAAGCUUCAAAACUUGAGGGAAACUAGGAGAGAUGCCGUUGCCCACUUGGACGACCUUAUCUUUCUCUAAGUUGCUGCACGAAAUCAAAAUCCAAUUAUAGUAACAAAGAGAGACUAGUGAGAAUGUAAAAAAAAAGAAAACUGUAAUCUUACGAGCGAGCGGGGUGAAUUCUGGUGUCAACCCGAGUCCUCACGCCUAUCAACAACAACAUUACAACUGUCGGAAGCAAAAUCUGCCCCCCCAAAAAAAAAAAAAAGAAAAAUAUACGCAGGUGAUCAACAUUAGCCAAUUCGAAAUCAUUUCAAAAACAAAAAUUUCAGAAACAGACAUAAGAAAUUCAAUUGAGCACCACCAAAAUGAGAGCAAACAAACAAGACCCAGAAGAAAGCUCAGACGACGAAUAGUAAAAUAAACAGUUUCUGGAAGAAGUAACAAGAGAGCGAAGAGAGAGAGAGACCUCAGCUGAAGUAACGAAGGGAUGACGAGUUUUGAGGAGCCAAUUCUUACGGAGCAUGGCCUUCAAUUGCCUCCUCCAAGUACCCAUUUCGUUCGGAGUUUGCCAAUUUUUUCCUUGGUAAAUCAGCUGAGAACCCAGAAUCCUUGAGAGAGACUCUCUAAUCUAAUCGAAAAGAAAGGGGAAAUAUCGGCUUGAAGAAGAAACCACCAUACAAUAACAUGCUUGGGAAAGCAAACACGAAAAGAAGAAGAAGAAGAGAGAGAGGUGGCGAGGACUUGGGCUCACCUCACUGACAUUUGUGCUUCCUUUCUUCUUCUUUUUCUUUUCCCAAUUUUAUGAACUCUUUAAAAUAAUACAAGUGGUCGACCCAAACCAAACAAAAUUUUUACGAAACUUGGUUAUAUUUUACUUUGAAGACUCUUUUUCAGAUUAUCAACCAAAACAAACAAAAAAGAGAUUAUCAUUACAUAACAAUACAAAAUAAUAGUGGAGAGAUGAGAGAUUAGAUUAAAUAAUGUCUUAACGUGCACAGUCGUUGAUGUUGAUAUAUCCCUAAAAACAAAGGAACCUUUGCGUCAAUGCCAAGUAGGGGGUAGCUUUCAUGGGCUCCCCCAUGGAGUGGAGCAUCCUCAUUCGUUUAGAGUUGCGUUGGCUUGACUCUGCUACGCCAAUUACAUUACCAGAAUAACGACGACGUCGCUUAAAGAUUGACGGCUAAAUGAUCUCAUCAUUUUCAGAGGUUUUUUUUUUCUUAUUUUUUAAAAGUAUUUCUGAAAGAUUGCGAAUAAGAAGAGCCGCCAUUAUUAGAAUAUUCUUUCAAACUUGAUCGUUUUAUUUUACUAAUCUUCUCCACAUGUUAAUGUUAGUGCAUUAUAAUUGCGCAUUUGGUUGUUGAUGUUUGGACUCAGUCCACUGAUUUAUAUCAAUAAUUCUUUAAUCACCUCUAACAAAAAAAUAUGACAUCAUAUUAUCCUAUCAACUCCAUUUUUAUUUUUUUAACACCAUUAUUAAGCUUUUGUAUCUUAUUUUAAAAUUCUCACUAUACUGUUAACACUUCAAAAUAUAUGUUAAAGUAAAUCUGUUAGAUAUGAGAAGUGGGGCUAGGCUACUGGACCGGCGGCCCUUUGUGGCCCAGAAUCAUACUUUUAAAAUAAAAAUAUGUUUGAUUGUUUUUGUUUUUUUUUUGGUUAUAUUUUUUGUUAUUGCAAUUCUCCCGUUUAAACCAAGUACAGUCUGUACAUGUGUUUCAGAUGAGACCUCCGAUAAAGAUUGGAAACAAUAAUUAAAAAACCUUAUUCAAGUUUCAAUCCUACUUCUGCUUCGUCGUCCGUCCUUCCACCAUCCAUCUUCUACAAUCGAAUAUAACUUACCUCUAAUUCUCAAUCAAACAGUUGGAAUCUGAUUGUUGUCAGCUCGAUUUCUCCCCGGCGACUUUUUCCGUUCAAAUUUGAUUCGCCAAUAGGUAAGGUAAUGCUGCUGAUUUUUUUUUAAAAAAAAUUGCACUCAUUCAAGCACAAAAACCAAACCUCGUCUAUAUCUCUCACUCACCAAAAUACAACAGGUCCCAAAUCCAGCAAAAAGUACUCGUCUUUAUACAACUUUCUAAGGUUUUCGCUUUCUCUAUUGGUUGUGGUAGGCUACAAGUGUUUAUUAUUUUACUAAUCAAUUUCUUUUUCCUGGAUUUUUCCACUUUUCCAAUUUGUUUACUCUAAAAAGCUAAGUAAAUUUGUUUUUAUCAUCUGAUUUUUUUUAGGGAUAGUGGAGGACAAAUCUUGAGAACUGUUUCUGGAUCCCUUCUUGUGGAAACUCGUAUUCCCCUUACUGUAGAAACUAAUAAACUAAAGUCACUACUAUCUAUCAUGAUUCAUGAAUAUGUGACGCUUCUCUGCGAUUGAAAAAGAAUGUUUUUUUCUUUCACUCUUUUCAGUAUACAUAUUACCUUCAUCUAAUGUUUACUGGUCACAUUGUUUGAUUAUGUCUCGUUGUCUCUUUUUGAACUUUCCUCAUGUCUUUUCUUUGGCGUCUGUUUCUAUGGCUUUAAACUAUGUGCAGGUGGAGCAACAACUUUUUCACACCAGCAAUUCAGCACCUUCUAACAAGUCCUGUGUUUUUUGGCUACAAAUCCUAUGGAUACGGGUCAAAGCCUCAUAGAACCAUAUCGAACAAAGUCGUUUAGUCGGGAGGGCAGUGUGAGCUCUUCUUUAAGCUUAUCACGUAGUUUGCCUCUCCUGAUUGACAAUGACGUCGAUAGUGAAAGUGUCUCAGAGGCUGGGGAUACUGGGGAUCGUUCACUUCGGAGAAGGCACAGUGCUGGUCGAAGCAGCCGUUUGUCUGCUGAUGAUUUUAUAGAACAAGGGACCCAUGAUACUUCUCGUCAAGAACAAGAUGUAUUACAUGAUCUCCGAGCCUUCAACACAACUUCUGUAAUCCAGCCUUUGCCUGAGAACAUUACAGCAUCUCCUUUACCUACCAAGUCUCUCUUGUCCCCUGAGAAAAACAAUCCGGUAGGGACAACCUCUAAUUUCGUAUAGCUACAUUAAAACUGUUAGUAUUGGUUUCUUAGUUCAAUGUUCUGAUCUAUGAUAGCUCGUGGUCUGUACAGGAAAAGGAGGAAGAGCGCAUGUUACCAAAGUCCUUGGAAUACAUAUCAUGCCUAGUUCAUUUGGCUGUUUUUGGGAUUUUGGGGGUAACUUCCAGAGGCUUUACUCUUGGGAUAUGCUUAUUUUCCAUGUUUCUUUCUGGCUCUCUGCUGUGCUUUGUUUUGGUUUUAACCAUUGUAAUCACCUCGUUGUCUGCAAUAAAUAGGCCAUUACGAGAUAUUUGCUACAGAAGUUGUUUGGACCAACUGGUGCCCAAGUAACAAGUGAUGGGAGCAUCUUGUACCUUGAUCUUCCCUCAAACAUCGUAAAAGACGCAACACACUCAUCUCAACUUAAGUUAUAAACCCAUCUUUCUUAAGAUAAAUUCUUUAGAUGAUAUCUUACAGGUGGGAUCAUUCUUGAUGGGUUGGUUUGGCGUCGUAUUCAAAGCAGAUAUAGCAAGAGUUUCUGAAUUUGUGGCGAUAGGUUUAUCGACUGGUUAUUUGGGUAGCCUGACAACAUUCAGCGGUUGGAACCAGAAAAUGCUGGAUCUUAGUGCUGAUGGUCAAUGGGUAUAUGCCGUGCUUGGCUUUCUUUUAGGUAAAAACAAAAAAUUCCCUUCUCAAAAAUCUCCAGUCACCUCCUAAACUGGAUGAAACAUACUUACUUACAGCAUAAACAACUUUACAGGAUUGUUUCUCACGUCAUACUCCAUAAUUCUGGGAGUAGAAACGGCCAAAGGGUUUAAAUGGCUUCUUCAUAGACGAGCUUCGUCUGAGGAAAAGAAAUCUUGCCUCAACGUUAACACCUUCCAAAGCCAUAUUGUGUCCCUGAUCCUGAUGCUUCUGUUGCUUGUGGCUCUAUUCACUGCGAGUUCCAUUCUGCUUGUGAAAGAAUUCGACAAAGGAACAAGCGAGGCUCAGCUAUGGUUAGGUUGCUUAGUUGCAGCCCCUGGUGUAUGGCUCAGAUGGUUCUUAGCCCGACUCAAUGGACGUGGACUGGGAAAAGAUAGACAACACUUGAGGUGGGUCCCAUUUGGCACCCUCAUUGCAAAUGUAACUGCAGCUUGCGUUAUGGCAGCAUUGGCCACUUUAAAAAAAUCGGUAUAAACUCCAACCCUCCCUCCCUCCCUCUGUUUACACCAAACAGAUCACAGAAGAUAAUAUUCUUUGUAUAUAUUUUGGGAAACAGGUGAACACGAGAACAUGUAACACAGUUGCUUCGAGUAUACAGUUUGGUCUGUUGGGAUGUCUGAGCACAGUUUCGACCUUAAUGGCUGAGUUCAACGCGAUGAGAGAAAGUGACUACCCAUGGAGAGCUUAUGCAUAUGCAUCUUUCACCAUUGCAGUUUCUUUUGCGAUUGGAACUGUUAUAUACUCAGUCCCUGUCUGGGUAGUAGGAUUCAGUUAGUUGUAUCAAAGCUAGAUAAGUCUUGUGCAGAUGAUGUGAAGAUACAUAAUUGUAAUAAUUGGUAGAGAUGAAUGAUGAGUUCGGUCACAAUCAAGUAUUACCUUGUGCAGAAGUAUUAAGAGCAAACUUUUAUACUAUAAUGAUAACUUUUUCUGUUUUACACAAAACAUGAUGAUUCUAUAUUCCACACUGAAAACAAAAGAAAACACAACCACUAACAAAACCUGUACAUUCCUCCUUCAGACCAUUGUCACACUUCUCACAACUUUCUAUCCAUUAAAGAGACAAAACGAGAUGCCAAGUCGACGAGUUCAUCUCACUAAAGGAGAAUUGGACAUACAUAAAGUCUAAAGGGAACGGCUCAUUUCUCUUGUGGGAUGUAGCUGUACGUGGAACAGCUGGUCUCUGUCUUUGUCACCUGCAGAAGAAACAGACAAAAUAUAAUGACAUAUGGAAGAUGUACUGUAAUAAACCACUGAAGUCUGUGGUUUCCAUCACAAAUAGAUAAAUAGCUACGAACCUCUGAAGUAUGAGAGGAUCCAGAAGGAAGAAAUGGUGUCCAGAGAAUAGGGUCUGCAAGAGGAUCCAUUGUACUGUAGUUGGUGAGCAAUGGAGCAGUUAACAGAGAGGUAAGUGGGUACAUGCUUUUCUGAAGAGACAAAGCAGCAGAGGCACCGCCUAAAGCAAUUUCAUGACUCACAACUGGUUUCUCAAUUGCCUUGCCGUGAUUCUUCUCCAUACUGAUGAUGUUAUGAUUUGCAUUCUCAUCGUUUUCAUUAGUGUUCUUUUCUUGCAUUUUCAGCACUUUCUCCUCUAGGCUCUUGUAGGCAGGUGACUGAGACAAGAUGCUUAAAGCAGAAGAGCUUGAUGGUGAUGAUAUUUCCUUUUCUUUUCUCUGAGUGCCACGAAGGACCCCAAGGUUUGGCGCCUUGUAUGGUUCUGUGGCCUGGGAUGUGUGUUCCAGUAUUUUAAGCUCAGUACCAGCAUCUUCGACUUUUGCAUCCUCUGAUGCUUUUGAUGAAGAUUCUGGUUGACGGGUUUUGUUGACUCCCCACCACUUUAUGUAUCCUGUUAGAUCAAUCUUUCUUUCCAGACAAAAGCUACCUAGAAAGUCACCUUCUGUUCCUCGAUCAUCCCCUGCCCCUGUUAUAAGUAAUAAUAAUGAGUUUUACAUGGUCUAAUGCAAGCACACAUUUGUGUCAAUUACGUCAAUGCUGUUAGUAACAUACCGUAAUGAAUGUUACUGAAGUAUUCAGGUCCAGGCAUACGACUGGUUGAUGCGUCCCAUCGGCUGGUCAGGAAUUGCAUUUAAUUGGAAAGACAGCAGAAAUGCGUAUCAGGUAUGAAUGUUAAUUGUGACAAAGAAAGGUUAAAAAGAAAACCGAAAGAGAGCCACAGGCAACACAGUGAAGAUAGCUUUGCCAUAUCCAUAUACCUAAGAGUAACAUAUAGACUUUUUAUAUGAAAUCAACUAGCGAUAGUCCACCAUGAGUUAAUUAAUCAAACUGUGAUGAUCCACAAUAUGUCACUAAAGAAUUUUCUUAUAGACAAUCACACAAGCAUAAUCACUCUUAAUACCAUAUUCUUUUGGACGAAACAAAGAAAUAGGAACUUAAACCAAUUGUUGGUCCAAUUUUACCUUUGAAGUCCACGAUAUUUUGCGAUUCCCCUCGAGAAACCGCUGCUUUUUCUGCCAAAGGGAUAUCUAAAGAGUAUCAGCAAAAAAUGGUUUUUUGAAGAAAAUUCUAUUACUUUUAAAUACAUACGCACCUACGUAGAGAUGCAAGGUAUUCUUCCCUUGAAAGAUUUUGCAUUUCUUCUAAAUCCCUGGUAUAGUCUGUCACCUACGAGAAUGAAAUACAUAAAUGCAUGUAGCUAAAAACAAUGAAAAUUGAGAAGGGUGACCCCGAAAACCUGUAACCAUCCUUCUUCCACUUAUGCAUACAAAUUGAUCAUGACAAUGAUUAAGGCAGUCAUAUGGUUGAAGACUAUAAACCUCAACUUAUAUAGCAUACUACCAUAGCAAUCUCACCGGAAAAUUUAUAAGUGUCCCAGGGCCCCAGUAUUUUAAGGCAGCAAGGUCGUAAGCUCUAGCAGCAGCCUCUUCAUCAUCAUAUGCUCCUGUCAAGUAAGAGUUGGGUUCUUGAGUCAAAGAUAAUCAAAUCUGAUAUGCAAAAACAUAAUCAACACCUAUAAGGAGCUUACCUAGAUAAACUGGUACGGCGGAAUUUGCGUCAACCAUGAAAAGAUAAAGGAAACUGAAAAGAUCAGUUUUGAUGCUCCGAACAAGAAAAAACUCAUAGCAAAUGACGAAAGUAACUUUAUCGGAUGCGGAGAAAAAACGAAAGAGAAACCUUGUUUUCCCUUCUUGUUCUGGUUUUGGUUCCAGGUGCUCUUAUCCCAAAGGUGAGCUUCAUAACGACCUGUCCAUCUAUGUCUGUACUCAAAAAAUAUAACAAACAAAACGCAUCAACAUCUCCUAUUGCUAUGGGAUAAAACCGCAGGUGGAUGCUAAGAACACCUACUCUCAUUUCUUCUGAUUUAAGCUAGUAAACUUUAUUACCAAACACUGUAAAAAACUGGCAUUGUCUAGAAACAAUUCUACUUCCGCUAGAGAAUAAAGUAAGUGUUUUUCAGAACAACUAACCGAUUCAAGAUAACUCAGCUCUCUCUACACAAGAUCUCUAACCAAAGGGCAUAUGCAUACCCACCUAAUCUAAACAUUCCAUACUGUGAUUACAGAUUACACAACUCGCAGUUCACAAUCAAGCUCUCCUGAGCAUCACCGACAAUCCCCAAUUGAAGGUAAUUAGAUAUAGCAAAAAUUUCACAGUACCUGGUGACUCCGCGGUAUAUAGAACUCCUUUUACCAGCGGUACACGGCGGCAUUUUACUAAUGCGCUCCUUAGCUGUGCAACCUCUCUCCUUCUUCGCCUUCUUAAAUCCUCUAUACAACAACAUCUGAUCACUCGCCGCCACUGUCUCCGAGCUCUCUCCUCCUCCUCCUCCUCCGCUACAUCCAGCCUCUGUCUUAGGUCCGUGAUCCGACGACGACACCGACGCCAUGAUCGAAGAACCUUCUCCCCAACCAAACCCUAGACGCACUAUGGCUAAGCAAAACGGAGCUUGUUACAGUAGAAGCAGAGAGAGAGAGAGAGAGAAAUGCUCAAUUUCAACUUUGACUCUUCCUUUUUCACCGAAUACAAUGAUUUUGAUAUUUGAGUCUUUUCUCUUCUUUUCUAAUCUAAAACAACGGCAAAAUAAAAUUACGGACUUAAAUUUACCAUUACGUCCCGAUUUUGUUUACCCUUUUUUAACGAUGCGAAAGAUAACAACUGCAACGGCUAUGAACGGGGACGAGGGUGUUUGGGUCAUUUACCUGAAAUAGGUUUUUAAGCUGACGUGUACUAACUAUGUCCACGUGUACGUGAUCUGUUUUCUGGGUUCCUGACAUUUUAAUGUGGAGUGUUUCCCAACUCUCGCUUCGUUCCAAGGAAUAUUCUUUGAAUGGUACACUCACAUUGUUGGUUUUUUUCUGUUUAUCAAACUUUGCUUAUAUAGAGUUUUCUGAAUAUUUAACAUUCGGAAUUUUUUUUUUCCUUUUUCUCUGACCAUUUGAUUCUUCAUAUUGCUACCGUUGUAAUCACUUACACAUCGAAUCAUUCCAUUUAAAAAUCAUUUUUCAAAUUUUUUGAAAUGAUUGGUUGAAUUGAAAUGUCUUGUUCGUUAUAGACUUACAGCAUCAGUUUUAUAUGCACACUGAUCCUAUUGCAGAUCAUUAUGUAACUCUAGCCAAACAAUCGAAGUAUCAUAUUAUUGGUACUUGGUAGAGGACAGUUCAAGUUACAAACGUCAUAUACUAUAUUACCAAUGGCCCAAAAAUACAUACAGUGGAAACUACAACAAUGUGACUUCGUGUCUAUGAAGUCGACUCAGAUCUUCUCCUUUGUUUCUCAGUGAUUCUAUGGACAUAACCAACCAAAAAAAAAUAUACAUAUGAAAUGUGAGACACCAAAACUUUUUUUUUUGUUGAAUCGAAAAUCAUGUGUCAGAAUAUAUUUUUUUGGGUUCCCCUCUCAUCUCACCCAAUUUAUGGCGUAUUAGAGGUUCGAACUCUGUCCCUGCACUUCUUUCACCAAAGGAGAUAAUGUCACGAUACAUUUGGUUGGAGGGUUGAAUACCAGCAUCACUCAUCCAUUCUAAAACCUGCAAAACAUUCACGCCAGGCCAACUUUUAUCUCUGGACCGCAAGAACUCGCUCGCUAUAGAAAAUAAUUUUGCAGGAGACAAACAAAAAAGUAAUACCUCGAUGUAUUUCCUCCAGUUUCCAACAGCUAAAACAUGUUCCAACAGUAUUGCAUAAGUCUUGAGAUUGAUUUCAACACCAGAGGCUAUAAUCUUAUAGAACAGCUGGGUAUAAAACAUGGUUUGGUUAAAAUUCUUGUUUCGUUUCUGUAAACAACUUGGCAGAAAGGAAAGAAAAUGUGUAAGUCUAAUUAGCAGAUAAACUAAAAGUUCGUCGCACCUUCAUCAUUGCUUCGACUUUACCACUCUUCCCGAAAAGAUGCAGCAUCUGAUUUGUUAGCCCGAUUGAAAGCGACGGCAGGUACGGAUCCAUCAUUUGGAUGAGGUCUAUUGCUCUUUUCCAUUCCUGCAAGCUGCAUUGUUGAAAGAAGAAGGAUCAUAUAUUGCUCUUUCUGUCUUCCGAGAAUGUUACUGUACUGUUUAUAUAAACAUACAACAACUUACGUGUUACAAGCCGAAAAGAUCUCAAAGAAAACUGCGCCAGUGAAGGGAACUUCUUUUUCCUGCAUUAAAUCCAUCAGGACAAAGACAUUUGAAGGUUGACCUCCCUUAUUGAAAGCUCUCAUCAAAGCUGAGCAUGCGAUAGAGUCUGGUUCUAUUCCAUUUGCUUCCAUUUCCAGAAAUAGUUCACAAGCAUUUCCCCACUUUUCUGGAGACACAAAACCAUCCGAACGAAUUCACAUCCAUGGAAAACAUUUUGUUACGGUAUUUCAACAACUUUGCACUCAUGGUAUAUACCUGAAGCAUUGUAAGCAUGGAGCAUUGAAGUGUAUGCAAUCACAUCAGGUUCGCACCCAGCCAUUUUCAUCUCAUUAAACAUGGAUUCUGCUUCUGUAACUUGACCCUGGAAAAUAUCACAUCAAAAGUAAUAGUCAAACCAUAUGAAAAUUCAGAAUUCUAUCAGAUACAUAUGUCUUCUUCUGAGCUCAAACUCUAAGUAAGCACUUGCCUGUUUACUGUAAGCACAUAGAACAGAAGAGUACACCUCCUUAGUCAAUGGAAUACUGAGAUCUUUCAUCUCCGUCAAGUAAUUAAUUGCUUCAGGGUAUUUUGACAUCCUACAUGAACCACUGAUAAGGAUAGUGAAAGUAACAGAAUCAGCUUUGACUUUCUUCUUUCUCAUAGUCUGAUACAAUGCAAUGGCCUUCUCAAGUUCUGCAGCAUUUAUGUAGCUUCCAAUGGCUGAGUUAUAAGCUGCCGUAUUGAGAUUGAUACCUCUCGACUGUGCUGCAGAAAGGACAGUUUCAACAUUCACCUUUUUCUUAGACCUACUACAAGCAGCCAAAAGAGUGCACACCGAAACAACAUUUGGCUUAACGCCGUCUUGUUCCAUCUGCUGGAAGAUUUGCACAGCUUCAGCUAGAAAUCCAUUAGACCCAUAAGCAUCAAUUAAUGCAUUGUAAGUAACAACAUUAGGCUUUCUCCUUUCCUUCCUCAUCAUGAGGAAUACCUCCUUUGCCUUUCCAGGUUGACGUGAUCUUCCAUAAGAAUUGAGCAAGCUUGUAUAAGAGACCACAUCUGGGAUAAUACCAUUCCGCUUAAUUUCUCCAAAAACCGAGAGAGCAUUUUCACUCAUUCCAUGAACAGCAUAGGCACCCAUUAAGGCAUUAUAGGAAACAAUAUUAGGUUUCAAACCUUCUGCAAGCAUUGCUUCAAACACGGCUCUGCAGUUUUCUAUCUCCCCCCUGACCGAGUAUAAAUGCAUAAUGCUCGUAAAUGUCACAACAUCAGGUCGGCAUACAGAUCUCUUUUCCCUCAUGGAACUGAAUACAUCAAGGGCUUGGCUACUUUGACCAAGCUUUGACAGGCAAUAUAUAAUGAUAUUAAACGUGGUGGUAUCUGGGCGAACUUUAGCUCCCUUCAUAAGCUCAAAAUAGGACAGCGCCUUUGAAUACUGACGACCACUCUUGUAUGCUGACAACACAAUGUUGUGAGUGACCAAAUCUGGUCCAACGCCGUUAUCUGUCAUUUUCUUGCAUACUUCCAGAGCCUCUCUCCAGUUUCCACUAGAACCACAAGCGUUGAUCAGAUUAUUGUAGGUUGAACGACUAGGAGCAAUCUGCAAAACCAGAAAAGGAUCAAAACCGUAUUUAAGCAACACUGACAAUGCCAUUGUAAAACUGUGAGGAAAAAUAAGAAUCAGAGGUUGAAGAGCGUAUUCUUAAUUGUUUGGCAUCACCAAAAGGAAAACAGACAAAAAAAAUUAAAUAGAUUGAUCAAUAUUACUUGCAAGAUGAAGACGCAAUAUAGACAAAACCAAAGUUCCUAGAGCAGUUAUCUAAUGAUCCAACUUUUUCAACACUGGAAACAGGAAAGAAGGAGCCUCACUUCAGACACAACUGAACCAAAACCAUUUAGAAGGAGCCUCACUUCAGACACAACUGAACCAAAACCAUUUAGAGGAGCAAAGCAAAGUUACACACAGCUGCUCGUAACAUGUCAUCCAUAAGAUUCAUAGCCCAGCGCCACUGACCAGCUCGACCAUGGGCAUUGAUAAGAGCAUCAUACGUCUGAGCAUCCGGUUUGCAGCUACAUUCAUAGCAAAGCGUUCCCAAUAAAUCAAAGUCCAAAAAAGAAAAAAAGCUAUGUUCCGUAGAACAUUUUCAGAUUAAAAAAACUUGAAAAACAUACCUCCAUUUCUGCAUUUCAAAGAAGAGACCACGAGCCUGGUCAACCCAAUUAUGUCUAGCAUGAAGCCUAAUCAUCAUAUUGUAUAUAUCAUUCCUUGCAGAGUAGUUCUUCUGAAUCUUCAUCCACUUGAAAACAUUAACACAAAGCUCGAUACACCCUCUUCUACUAAGCUCCUGCAAAAGUUAGAAACUUCAAACUCUCCACUAAGCUCAAUUUCAAAAUAGAAUCAGUGGUACAGCAAACAGAAUCGAGACAUACAUACCCUGAUAAGAACCGGGAAAUUCUUCCUAGCAAACCGGCCGACCCAGGAAUUGAGAACGCCAUCAACUUCUUCCCAACGAUUGAGAGCCAUAAGCCGGUCCACAACCUCGGAUACACUCCAAUCCUUCUGAAACCGGUCGUUCUCAACCCGAAGUCGGUAACGUCUCGGUAUGUCAGCUUUCCUGAGCCCGCCGACGCGGACAGAGACCUCAUGCUCCCCUCGGUCGUAGUUCACAGAGACGGAUUUCUUCUCCUGGAAUGCUUCAGAGGCCUUUGUAGCUCCUGGCUUAUCGGCGCGGGAAGAUUCCGGCGGAGUGACGAGCUUCAAACUGGUAACGGUAGCCAUUAAAGCAAACGUCCAAGGUUGAGAGAGCUCUUCGGUGGAUAGAUAGAAGGGGAUAACACUUACUCACACGGCUACGGACCUUAAAGCCCAUAUCCGAUAUUUUCAGGCCCAUUUCUUUUGAAAACAUACAAAAGGCAGGCAAAGAAUAUCAAUAUUAAUUAUCUUGGUCGACAAGCCUGUUUGACUUUAGUCGCAUUUUCUUGGUAAGCUCCCUCAAAACAUAAAUAUAAAUACAAGACAUUUGUAAACUUGGACGAUUCAUCAAAGCCUCAAUAUCAAAAUAAGCAAACAUGAAGAGUAGUGAAGGUCGUCGUCAUCAAGGCGUCGUAAGGACGGGUAUGAUUCAUCAAUGUGGUUUUAAUCUGCGACCCACCAACAGGCGGCUCGAUUCGCCACCGGCUAGUAAGGGAGUAUUUACCAAAGUGCCAUCAAAGACCGUCGGAGAAAGUGAACGGUCCAAGUACAGUAAUUGCCACGUGUCGCCGGCUAUCAAGUCGGGACACAAAUCUAAGGGUCGCAGUAAGAUACAACCGACAAGUUUGUGGAGUGAGGAUAUGCUUGACCGGCUCGUCGGGUCGGACUCGUCCUCUGCUACUGAUAUUUUGGAUACAUUAUGUAAAUGGAGAUCAUGAUGAGCAUUAUUAAAUUAUCAUCAUGGCUAAUCAUCAUGGUUGAGAUCUAUGGAGAUAGUGUAUUUCAUGUUUGAACUUUGAUAAACAAUGAAUAAUUAUGGGAAAUAGUGUUCUGUAUAUUAGACACAAACAAUAACCAAACCUCUCAUGAUUCAUAUGAGCAUGCAUAAAACAAUGAAGCACCUGAUUGUACAACAAGACAUGUUCUUAAAUAGUCACAACAAUGGAAGAAUCCAAAUCAAAUAAUAUUUGUUACUCACAAUCACAAAUCUCUGCGUCGGGUAAAACAAUCAAUGAUCAUCAAUCACUACAAAGACACUUCAUUGUGCUGUAAGUAAAAUAUAAAGAAUCAAACCCAAACCAACUCAUGAGAGAAAUAUUAAUGAGCCAAGUUAUUAAAACUGAAGAAGAGAAACAAGAAAAACACAACUCUUCAAACCAACAACAAACUGGCUGAUCCCCCAUAACACACCAUUGAUCCCUAGAACAAGUCGAACUUCUUCUUAAGCAGAUCUUGCUUCCAACGUGGUAGGUUGUUGAAUGCUUCUUUCUCCAUCCCAAACACACUUUGGAACUCUUCCUCAGAUAGAUAAGCCUUGUAGUAAAUUGAUCACAGAAAUGACAAACCACAAGUUUAGUUGGGUAAUAAUAGACAGAGAGAUUCAUCUCCUAGUAGCUAACUAACUGACUACUCACCUCUCUACGUUUGAAAUCGAUUCCAGUCACUGGGUUCUCGGAUUUAGCUCUCAGUUGUUCAUAGCUGAAAGUUGCUCCACUUGUUUCCAUUUCAGAAUCGUCUUGCUCUUCUGUUUCCUGCUUUGCUUCUGGUUCAUCAGGUGCAGGUGAAACUUCCUCUUCUUCCUUGGCUUCAUCACCAGCUGCUUCCGAAGCCUCUGCUUCAUCUUUUGCUUCCUCUGUAGAUGAAGAUAGUUUUAGUCAAUUGUGUUAUUGAAGUUUAUAACGUGGAAUUAAGAAGAAAAACUUACCCAGAGGGGUGUCAUCUGCUGGGUUGGAGCUGGUGGAUCUUCUUGUUGGAGAGGUAUCAGGUGAUUUCUUAUUUUCCGCAACAAGUACUUGAGAGAGAGCAGCCACUGCUGCUGCUCUCUGUGAACCCUGACUUGUCCCCGCUGGCCUUGGUGGUGGAGGCGAUUUAGUUGAUGAUGAAGAAGAAUUGAAUGCGGAUGACAAGGCGGCUAAAGCUUCAGCUCUCUGUCUUGGGCCGUCAUGACUUUCGCUUGAUCUGUCCUGACUCUGCAGUUAAAAUGGAAGACUGUCUAAGUUUACUAAUCAAAGAAUCAGAUGCGACUUGCUAAACAUACAAAAGUAAUGGGUUAGGUUUGGCUAAAACAAAGGAAGAUGAAUCCCACUGAUGUAUUCAAGCAGACUGUUCUAGACUGAGAAUCAUGUAAAGAAUUAUACUCUCUAAGUUUACUUGGAUUUAGGAUGGGACUCUGAACUAAAAGGCUGAAAAUGUGUUCAGCUUCCAACAAUAUAGAUGAUUUAACAGCUAACUGGCCAUAGAUUGGUUUGUACAAGUAGGGUCAUUAAAAUAUCCUUUACUGGGAAACUUUAAGGAAAACUAAAAUCAAAAGCAUUAUUCUUGAUCAAAAUUCUCAAGAUAUGCUUACAUCUCAAGUUAUAUCACAUAAAGAAUAUAGUAGAAACAGUGAAUUAGGUUAGUAGUUAUUUACCGAAUAGGUAGGCCUGUUACUAGAAGAAUUAAAAGCAGAAUUUAAGGCAGCUAAUGCUUCGGCCCUUUGCCUUGGUCCUUGGUUCCCACCGUUAGACUUAUCCUGCAGAAGAAGAAGGAAAAUCUCAUGAACCCAAGUAACCGGAAAGUAAUAAGAGUGUCUUAGCCAAACUAAAUACGCAAAUGUGUAGUACCUCCACAACGUGGUGAGUGCCAAAUAAGAACGCUGCCUUUUUCUGGAAUGAGUUUCCUUGUACCUAUAUGAUAGGUUUUUAACAUUGAAGAAAAAGUAAUUUGAAGGAGAGAAAAAGAGAAACAGUAACGAAAAUCCAUGAGGUACGAUCAGAGUUAUCUAGUUAUGUUAUCUAAAUCCCUCUUCAACACUAAGUCCAUAAAUAGUACUUCACAGAAAGCAGACACAUUUUCAUGCCAGCCACUUCAAAGAAGAAAAAGAGAAACUAAACAACAAGAAAACUUACGAUAGCUUUAGUGGAAUCCCAAGAAAAGUAAGUGGUGAAGAAGCAUGGUUCGUUCCCUUCAUUGAUUCUGUAGAGUGGAACUUUAGGAGACAAACCUUCUAAGGAUCCAGCAAGAUCUAUGUAUUUCUGCCCAUAAACUAUCUCAAUGAGCAAGAAGUACAAAAACGGAGAGAGAAGCAAAACGAGAAGCAAAGAUGAUUAGGAGAUAGUUACUUGGCCAAUCUCAAAUACAGUUUGCUUUUCCUUGGGAUCCACACAGUGACCAACCCAGACAAAAACUUCAGCAUGGGUGUCUAGUAAAUAUACAUCCUCAGUCAAGAGGUCAUCUUGAGCGAAGUUGUAAAUCUCUUCAACCUGUUGCAGAGCAUACUAUUAAUAAUAUGAAAAACAGCAUAUCGAGUACAGAAAGUUGUAUAAUUUCGCCAAUAUCUCACCUGAAACUUUCCUGCGGGGAUCCCGGCAGACACAUUUAAAAAGGAGAAUGAUACAGUUAGAAUACAGGAAAUGUUCAGCUUCUUAAAUAAAUGCGAAAAUCUGAGUAAAAAAACCACAUUUAUUAUCGUAUAAAAUAUUCACCUCUGUUAUAAGAAAAUGAAAAUAAGUGAGGAUCCCUGAUAGUCUCGGAGGAAGCCUUCUUACUGGUGAAAUUCUGUUUUCCACCAAGUGCAAACCAAAAGGUUGAGCUCUCUGUUCCUUCUUUGGCAUGCUUCAGAGUAAUCCCAGGCUGACUUAGCAAAAAGAGAAGAUGAUUAAUAGAUUAAAAAAAAGAAAACUUUUUUUAUGACUUCCAUGUAAAACUGUGAAGUACCUAUUUGGAAAUAUUUAAGCUAAACUGAAAACAACACAAUAAGAUUGGAAACUAACCUUCAAGAAUUCAGCAACUUUAGCAGCCACUUCUAGCUGUUCAUGCGCACUUUGAUUUCCAUGCCAAAGGAACAUGGACGUACCAGAUUGCAGAAGGAAGCACUCAUAAGAGUUUAAAGAUGUUGCCACCUGAUGGAAGUAUUGCAACAUAAUUACGAGUCAAUAUAACAAAUCAAAGAAUAUUAUGUCUCGCCUAUUUCAUCUCUUAUACAAAGCUGAAUAAUAAGUACACACCCUCAUUUAAAUUGCAAUUCAAAGAUAAGAAAACUAAAAGUUAUUACGUAUAUAGAAAGAAGCUAAGGUAGUCAAGUACCGAUUCAACUUGCACAGCCUUAUUAUUGUGAACUCCAGUUCCAGAUACUUGAAUAAGUGCAAUUGAUUCUGGCGUGUAAGUUUCAUCUGUCGGCCCUGUCUCUCCCACACUUAUGCUGUACCCAGAGCUCAAACCACCCUAAACAGUCCAUGUAAACCAUAUAAAUCACUGUAUUUUCUCUUGCGACUAAAAUCAACUUCACCCUCAUCUUGUAAACAGCAUACAAAUAAAUACCUUUAGGAUCACCAUAGGUUGAAAAAGGGCAACGAAUUGUGGAGGCUCUUUACCUUCGUAUAUACGACCCUGCGAGAACACCGCAUUGACAUUAAUCAAUCUUUCUAGACUCUAGUACUAUUCAUCAUUCCUUUCAGUAAAAAGAAAACAUUGUACCUGCACAGGUCUUCCUUUUAGAGAGUUUGACAUUGUAUUCGCCAGUCGAAUUGCUGUAUCUUGGUCUUCCUGGUUAAGGGAGAAAUUAUAAAUUUAGAUGGUUAAACUUAAGUGAAGUUGAAUAUCUGAAAUCUAUAACAUUAUGUUCAUAGAGCUAACAUAAAAAUAAACUACUAACAUCAGGAACCAAUCAUCUUAAAAGCUAAAACUGCAGCACGCUCACAAAUAUGAAACAAGUAACAAUAUAAUUUUGCAACAUUUACUGGUUACUCUCAACACUCAUAUGGAAGAUACAAAGUUCUACAAUCACAACCAAUUUCAAGCUUAGCCAUAGAAUUCAGUACAAGGCAAGAUCACGGAGAAAUUAAGAUAGCCAAUAUAUUAUACGAUAUGUAUACUAAGGAAUCAUAUCUUGUUAUGAUUAAGAUUACCAUUACCUGAAUGCUAUUCUUUCCAAACCAACAACACAAGAAAAAUUCGUCUUUUCUAUCACCAGAAUGAUAGGUAUAAAGAACCAAAUAGCAGUCCCCAGAAUAGAGCUUGCCAACAUCUUCUUUAGGUAAUGGAGUCUUGGCUUUACCAUUAACGUACCAAACCUAAUCCAUAGACAAUGAAAUAUCAAAAUGGAUAUAUCCAUAGCCAAAUGUGAAGAGUAAAGAGAUAACAAGUCAAGUAGUCAAACAGACCUCCAACUUUCCACCACCUUCAAGAAGAGGUGGAAUAUCCUCAAUCACUGGUGCACUUUUUGCAAUGCCCUUGAGCCCAACACCUUGUUGCUUCAGUAAAGCUAGAGAAUGAUGCAGCGUCAAUGGCAAGUCAGGGACAAAGAAACUGUUAAUUUUUUUAUCUAGUGAUAUAAGUUUCACAGUGGUGUUUUACCGGCAACUUUUCCUCGUCCUUCCUCGUUACCAGUAGUGGCCGAGCCUGAUGGCCAAGAGUCAAAGUUAGACUUGAAAGAAUGGGACUCAUAACCUUGGAUAACACGGGUAACGCGUGUUGCCUUUGGCCUAUUUUCACUAGCAAGAAAUUCCUGGAGAUGAAAGGUAAAAAGCGAGAAGCCAUUAUUGAGGUAGAUAUACUAAAGGCCGGAGAAAUGUUGUUAAUAGACUUCCACUCUUUACCUCAGCAAAUUGACUAGCAGCUUUCCUUUCAUCCACUUGAGUUACUCGGCCAACCCAGAUAAAUACCUCAGCACCACAGUCCAAGAGGUAGCAUUUAGUGUUUUCCAGCAUCGAUUUGGAUAGAUCGCCGUCUAUAGGUUCCACCUUACCAUCAGUGAUGCUAAAAAAAAAUUAGUAGCAACAUAUCAAUCAAUAAAUAUUUAUUAAGUAAAUCUUAUAAUAGAUACUACUACAGAAGAUAUAAGUAGCAGAAUGGCGUGUAUUAUAUCGAGAAGAAAAAAUGAGAAAUUAAAAAACUCGAGUCUUAUUAAAGGGAAGAUAAGUACCUAUAAAGCUUGGGGGGAGUUGACUCUGGAGUGAUGUCAUCAUCAUUGGCAACUUUCCUUCCGAUUGGAGCAAAACCACCAAAGAGGACCCAAAAUGCACCAGAAUCUGAUUCUGUAUCUAAUUUUCCAUCAUCUGUUAUACCAGCAAAGUAUGAAUAUAGAUUAGUUUCCACCUUAAACACCAUCUCUGUAAAUUAUACCACACACAAACCUAUUCUUAUCAUUCAAACACUGUUUGUUGACUUGAGGGGAAACAGAGGAAGAGGCUGCAAUUUACUUACCAACAAUCGCAACAUCGCAAGUUCCUUCGUGAUACUUGUCUUUCAAAUACUGAACGACUUCCAAAGCUUUAGCUCUCUCCUGAAUGUUUGAAUUUGCACCAUUGAACUGAUAGAUCUUUUCCUCGGUAUCCAAGAUAAAUACAUCAUCAUGAUUCAGCGAUGAGCGGGCAAAAGGAACCUACAAACAAAAAAUGGAACAGAAGAAAAGUUAAGGCACAUUGGUUAUCACUGUGCUACUGCGAAGAGAGUACAAUAGUUAAAACCUGCUUCAAACGGAUUGCACGUUUUCCUUUGCAGGUAUAUAACCGGGUCUCAAAGACCUCUUCUUCAGGUGUUUUAAAACCAGAUGCAACACCACCCUCUAAUGGAAUAAUACAUGGCUUGAAGUAAGACAAGAAUUUGUCAGAUUCAUGGCCUUGAAUUUCCCGGUGUUGGACAGCACGGCCUCCAAGAACUGCAUCGAGUUCAACUGUUUUAACCGCUGCUGUUCCAGCUUCAUCCUAAAAAUAUCAAACCAUAAGUUCGUCUACCACUGUUUCACCUUUGCUUCUAUUCCAAAAACAGGCGUUACCAAAUAAUAGAGUCUUGGGGAUAGGUACCUGACUUGUAUCUUUACCAAUCCAAAAAUGUAUAUCAAACAAAUAAGCGCCCCCUUUAUUUUGUGUUGUCUGCGCAAAUGGAAGAUAAACAUAACACAAUGUGAGUGAUGAUAAUAAAAGGAACGCAGACUUCCCACACAUGUGUUACUCUGUGGUGUAAGAGAUAUCAAAAGACAGAAAAGGGCAAUGAAAAGAAUUCCAAACCUGCAAGACAAUGUAUGUAUCUCCCAUAUAGAACUUUCCAUGGUCAGACUUUGGUACUGGAACUGCCUCGAAAUUCUCGAUUCUCCAGAUUUCAGUCCCUCUAAUAACAAAUGUUAAAGUUCAACAAGCUCAUAAAGUCAGAACAUUCAGGAAUCUCAGGAAAAAUAAUAAUCAGAUUCCUGUUUUGAUAUCUAAAACUAAUGGAAAAGUAGCUAGAUUGCUGAAAGGAUACGGUUUCUGGCCAGCUCCUUGAAAAGCAGGAUCCAACACUUUUGUUGAACCAGACGACAUUUUGUCAAAUCCUCUUCUUUUUUCUUUCUUUUUGUGUAAGCAAAUAUAUAUAGACUACAGACGCCAAUGAACCUGUCCAGUAAAAAAAUACGGAGCAAAGUUAAAAAAUUUAGAUCGUCAAUAAAGUCUGAUUUUUACUUGGAUGAAGGAUCUCAAACACUUUCUUGUAAGCUGUUUCUCAAUCAAACUUGAAACAAGCAAAGCAUUUAUUAGAAUUUGGUGGUAUAAUAAUGUACAUAAUUUCUGUAAAUCUAAAUUGAGAUCAUGCAACAUUCUUCUAAAAAACUUCAAAUCCAAUACCGGGAAGCUAGUGAUCAAGAAAAUUAUCGAUGAUCCAGGAAAAGCCUAGAGAGAGAUUAAGAUGGUUCGAUCAGCCUAAAUUUCGAAAAAUAUCAAAACAAACUUAUGCGAUUUCCAGGAAUUGAAUUGAUCAAACAUGACUCAGCUGAAUACCCAGCACGAUUUUUCCGAAAACGAAGCGAUAAAUAUCAAAACUUUAAGCUGAGAAGAAGCAAGACGUAGGCAAAUAGAGAAAACUCAGAUUCAAUGGAUCGACAUCAUGAACAGAGCAAGGUACGACCACGAUCAAAUCGGAUAAAUAUAUAUAUAUGAAAAAAUGAGAUGAUCCAUACAUUGUUAAUAAACCCAUAAGUCAAAUGGAUCGAGGUAGAGAGAAAGUACCUUUCCCGAAGAUCUAAAAGGGUGGCACUAAGAAAAUGGCGAAAUGAUGAAGAAGAAGAAGAACUGGCAAAGAAGAAGACGAGGGAAGAAGAAGAGAAGGGAGAAGGAGAAAAAAAAAUAUAAAGAAGGUAAUUGAAUAAUGGGAUUGGAAAAGGAGGUUGUGAGCUGUGUGUGUUAAUUACGUUUCUCUCUCUCCCUUUAGUUUUUAAUGCGUUUUUUGUAACGUUUUUAUUAAUUUGCUUAGAUUUUAUUACCGCCGACGAUCGAGGAAGACGGAGGUAGGAAGAAGGAAGAAGGAAGAAGAAAAUACGUUUUGAAGAGUCUCUCUCUGUGUGUCAAUUUUUCAGGCGAAGAUAUUAGAUCCGGUCGUUGUUCAACCCGACCAAUGUUUUUUUUUUGUUGCCUUUUCAAUUUUACUUUUUUUUUAUCACACUUUAUAAUAUUACAAAUUAAAGUCAAAUUUAAGAAAAAAAAAUUGUUUAUUGCAAUUUUGGGAGUAGAUGGGAAUUGAAAAACUUAAAAUCAUCCACCUCACAUAAACAUAAAUUAUUUGGAAAUUUAUUACAAAUGUAAAUGAAUAGCAACUUAUUUAGAUAGAAAGAAAAUCAAAUAAGAUAAUUAUGAUAUAAACUUUUGUUCUAAAAAAAACAGGUGUGCCUAUUUUUUAGCUAUUUUCAUUAAUAGUUACCAAUAUAUUGGAUUUUAAUAAUAUGAUAUGGAACUAAAUAAUAACACUUGUCAAUAGCUACUUUUACAUGUUUAUCUUAAAAGUUGGUAAAAAUAACACCCAAUAUACCAACCUAUUCUUAUAGACAAUUUUAUCAUCCCUUUUUCAAAACAUACUAGAUUCGGACCCGCGCUACAGCGAGGGGGAAAAUUACCGGGUUUUUAAUCCUUUGUAUGUUGCGAGAUAAUUUAUUUGUGUUUGCUUUACUUUAUUUUGAUUAUUAAUUAAAUUCUAUCAUUUUUAGAUUGUAUUUUUGUGUUGGUUUCGAAUAUGUUCAAAAUUAUUUAAAUUGUAUGAUUUUAGUUGGAUUGUUAAUUUUAGAACAAUAUGUGACAUAUAUACAUGUAUAAAUAUUAUACUAUGAAUCAUUUUUAAAGUUUAGGGACUGACCCGCGGUCCACCGCAUAAUCAUAAAUACAUGAUUUUAACUUGUACCUUUCAUGCAGUUUUGUAAAAUUGCAAAUCUCUAGAAUAAACAAAUAAAGAGCCAAUGAUUUCUUAUUUCUUAUCGUGUUAAAAUGUAAAAUCUGUGUUUAUGUUACAAUUUUCUGGUAGCAGAAACUUAUUUAUAUAGAUAAUAUUUUCUUAGAGUUAGGUUAGCGUUGAAAAAAAGAUUAGCUUUAUAAUCAAACCAGAAAUUCGAAACUAUUGCCAAAUAAAUAUAUUAAAGAUGGUUGAAAAUGAAUUAUCCCGUAAUUGGUGUGAAGAUCAUAGUUAAUAUAGGAGAAAACUAUACAUCUAAAUAUUAAUAUAAGAUAUUUAAGGAACAUUUUGUUUUGAAAUAUUAUGGAUAAUUUGAUAAAUAUUUUAUAUUUAAUUUAUAUUUCUGGUUUUUAGGUUAAUUUGUUAAACCAAUAUACAAAAUCAUACAUUAAUGUAUUUUUCCUUAAACAAAUUAAGAUUAAUGUACUUUCCAAAACCGAUAUUGAUGGUUUAAUUUGGUAGAUUUCGAAAUAAUAUAUAUGGAAACUGGUAUUUAAUAUCUUUAAAUUUGUAGUAAGAUCCAAUUGAAAAUUUUCGGGUUAAUUUUUUAAAAAAACCCGACCCAAUAAACUUUUGUACUUCUCUUUUACUAUAGUAGGGAUACCAACCUAAUUAUACACAUAUAGUUAUGUAUAAACAAUAAUACUGAAACCAUCCCAAUGCAUUAUUACUAUACACACUUAUCAUUAUAGAAUGUUGGACAAAGAAAAGUAUUGUCUGAUGGAGAGAUUGGUCUCAUCAUUUCGCUAUUUCAGGAUGACACGAUCGAUGUCCUUUUUCAGCAUGUGAUUGAUUUCACGAUUGAACUCCUUUUGAAGGAUAAGCACUUUCUCUAUAUAAAUAAGAAUUAUAUACCUAUAUUAUAUAGUGUUUCUUCAUAUAUAUAUAUAAUAAUACUGGGAUACAAUAACAAGAUAAACGUAGAACAGCCUUAUUUUCUACUUUUAGGCUUUUGGCAGAGCUCAUGGACGUAUGGGACCAUCGGAUGAUACUCUUCGUUUUUUUUUUCUCUCUACACUCUUUUUCACACUUCUUUUUUCUUUCUAGUGUGUAUAUACGGAAAGAAGGAGAUUUCAGAAAUCAAAUAGCUAUCAAUUAUGCAUCGAAACGUUCACCGUUUUCCAUUUAUAUCGUCAUCAACUCUACCACACUUUGAACCAUUUGAUCGUUCUUCGCAGGAUGAUACGCUUAUAACCUCUCACGAGUCACGUCUCAACCACACACACACACACACACAAAAAACAAAAAAGUUCAAGAUUUUUAACUCAUCACCGAUGGUACGUAACAGACUUUAUAUUACCAUAUCUACAUAUAAAGUACGUAGAACUUAAAUUCACAUCUCACAAAUUUCAUCAGUGGAAGUCUUAAGCUGUUAUAAAACACUUAACCGAUCGAUACUUGAACAACAUUGAUCCUUGUGUGUUGCCAGGUCAACUUCACGUAAACAAACCAAAAAAAAUCGAACACAUAUAGUGCUAUAAAUUUAAUAACUUGUACCACCAUCAAGAAAUGGAUAAAAAUUAGAAUUGAAGGUCACUCAAUCAUAAAGAAAAAAAGUGUAAAAUAAAUGAAGUAGAUGUAGUUAAGUAACAUGUAAACUAAACAAACGUAGCAAGUUGAAAUCGUAACUUACCAGUUUGAUCUUUCUUUCUUUUCUAUCUCUUACGUAACAUAGAUCAUAUCUGUUCUGAAUUUACUAGUGAGAACGAUCGACCAACAAUAUCGAUUAACAACCAACAGUAUAUUUUGUUAUCCAUUCUAUAGUCAGUCAUGGACGAAACAACAUCCUCACAAAGAAACGACUCGUUAAUUACAGUGACUCAGACUUGUUUUGAUCCCAGAUUCGAUAUAUAUAUGGACCACAAAAAGGGAUGUGGAUUUAUAGAAAACGGUUUUGAUGAUUGAAUAAUAUGUAUGUGCCUUUAUGAAAUCGGGGGAUGAAAAGCCUAAAAACAUAUCAUGUGAGUCAGUGAGUGUGUGAUUAAAAAAGGUGUCACCUUCAUUCAUAAAUUCUCAAAAGUUGUAUGAUCACAAAACAGUCCAUGACCCUCACCCUCUAUUUCUCAUUUCACAUGGAAAAAGGUCCCAUGUCCUCUUAUGUUUUUUCUUCUUUUAUAGACGAGUUUUAAAAGUCUAAAGUCUAUUGUUCUGUUUCACAAAAAUAUGCAUACUGAUUGAUUUGUUUAACUCCAAAUGUGAAUAAAGUUUGAGAAAUUCACAUAACUGUUUGAUCACUAUUGAUGAUAUAGAAGAACGAGUUGAUACAAUGGACUCAUGUAACAAAAAUGCCAGCAACAAUCACAGAGCAAAAUUUUCGCUAAACUAUUGAUUUUGAAACUAAGGAAGAAACUCAUUCUUCUUGUUCAAGUGGUUUCUGUAAUCCCUUCUUCAGUAGCUUUGGUCUUGGUUUCAUGGGCUUUAAGAACUUAGAUUGUAACCUCACCAUCUCUUUCAGCACACUGAUCAGCUUCCUCUCGAUUUCUUCACCGUCCGGUUCGAUGGCUCCCAAGCACCGUGCUACUGCCUCCGCCGUAGUUACGCAUCCUCCGAAUGGUUCUUUCCUUAGCACAAGCUCCGAGUCGUAUAUGGUUCCUCCGCUCACGGAUGCGUCUAUUCCCGUAUCCAGACACACUCUAACCGCUCCUGCUUCUCUUAGAACCUCUUCGCUAGCCUUUACCAUCUCCUUCGCGUGUUUCCACGUCGCGUCGAAUACGAUGAGCCUCAACGGCGACGAAUGUGAGAUCUCUCGAUGGUUUACAAGGUUUAGGGAUUUGAAUUCGGAUAUAGUGACGGCGGGGGAGGAAGGAGAAGACGGGAAGAGGUAGAUUGUUGGUGGUGAUGACGAGGCCGAGGGUUCCCCGGCAGAGGAGAUGUGGCGGCGGCGGAGACGGCGGGUGGGGAUUGUGGUGACGUUUCGUAAUGAUUUGGUAAGGAGAGGUGUGGUGUUGAGCUUGUGGCGUGACUCGUGGGGAUGGUGGAGGAUGAUGAUCUCUGUAUUCGUCGGAAUUGGAUCCGUUGGUAUGACGUGGCAGAGACAAAUCGGAUUUGGGCGGUCACAGCUGUUGCAGAUCUGCCGGCGAUGAUUCUCAUCUGGCUUCUCCUCCAUCGUGACUGCUCUUCUCAGUCAUGCGCGACCGAAUCUAAUUCUAUUACGAAAUUGGAUAAACCUAAACCGGCGCGGUUUAAUCAAUUCAUUAUACGGCGUCGUUUGGUUUAUUAAGCAUACGUCGUCGUUGAGGCUAUUCACGAUUUGGCGUCAGCAUUAGACUUUUUUUUUGCUUUCUAAUUCUCCGGUCACCAUUUUCCCAUUUGUACCGACCGCUUUUAAGAUUCCCGCACGAUUAGCUGAUCAAAAUUGGUGGAAGUAGACAAAUAGGAGAGGAGCACACUGAUCAAAUCCAAACUAGAAAUGUCCGGCGUCACCGCGGAGCUUAUUGCAAUGGAUGCAACUCGUUUCCAGCACACUCCUUACUACUGGUAUUGUUCUUCUUCUUUUCAAACAAAAUUUCCCCAUAGAUUUAGGUUUCUUCAAAGGAUAGACUGAUUGUUGUAGUUGGUUGAUUUCGUUCCUACUUUGGAGAAUCUUCUGUCUUUGGUGAUUAUUUGCCUUAUUGGAAAGUAGAACAUAGAAGAUAAAGAUGUUGACUUUCUUUUGUAGUGAAGAGAAUGUGUAUCUGCUCUGCAAGACGUUGUGCGAGAAUGGUGUAGCCGAUUCAACGGGUUCUGAUCUGUUUGUCGUUUUCAUCUCGAAUGAAAAGAAGCAGGCAAGCCAUGUUUCUUCUCAUAAAUAAUCUUUGUUUCACUGUGGGGUAAUUUAUUAUGUUUGGUCUUGUUUGGUGUUGGAAUUAUAUCUCCAUUAUGCUGUUUCACGACUUUUGAUUGUUCAUUUUGAAGUUUCAGUGUUAUUCGAAUGUGCUCGGUUGUUAAUCAGAGUGUUUGUUUGUUACGAUGUCCAUUAUUGAUAUCUUGGCUAGAUGAUCUUGUAGGUUCCACUAUGGCAUCAGAAAGCUAGUCGCAGAGCUGAUGGGAUUGUACUGUGGGAUUAUCACGUCAUCUGUGUCCAGGUUAAUAUCAUAAUGUUUUUGAUGUCAGUUUUUAUAAUUGAACUUGAUUUAGGUUUUUGUAUUGGCAUGAACAGAGCAAGAAAGAAAGUGAUUCUGAGCCUUUGGUUUGGGAUCUUGAUUCGACUCUGCCCUUCCCUUCACCCUUAACCUCAUAUGUUACUGAAACGAUCCAGCCAUCUUUUCAGCUUUACGCAGAUUACCAGAGGUAACCUAUCACUGAACCACUAAGUAUGUUCUUAUGACUUUGAAGAUAUUUGUUAUCUGGUUUCACGCAUGUCAAGAUUGAAAGUGUUUCUUCUUCAACUUCUUUAUCUCUGUAUUACGGGCAAAACAGUUUAGGAAAGGCACAGCAAAGCGUUUUGGUCAUUUAAUAUUGACAAGUAUAGAAUUGGCUGGGAAAAUACAACAUUAUGUAAUGUAGCUGGAUUUUUUUCUUUUCUGUUUGGUUGAGAUCAGGUUCUUCCGCAUCGUGCAUGCUCCUCUCUUCUUUAAGCAUUUUGCUUCUGAUAGAAGACACAUGAAAGAGCCUGAUGGAAGUUGGACUGCUCCACCUCCACCCUAUGAACCCAUUAUUGCCCAAGGUAAGAUGUAACUUCUCAGUUUUCAUUCUUUCCUCGACCACUUUCAUUUCGUCAGCUCACUUUUGUCUUGCUUCUGAAGAUGGAAUCUUGCAUAAUUUGAGCGAGUAUAUUGCCAUGAGCGGUGCGGAUACAUUGUCGAACUUGGACCCUGAAACUGUGAGAACGGCAAUUUCUCAGAAACUUGGUGUUGUGGUGAGCCACAAUCAACUUCAGGAUCUCUUCACGAAGCUUCCUUAAACAUGUCAAUGUCUUUUCUUUAUGGGAUCAAAAUUGUGUCAUCACUUGUAAAUUCAGCCUUGUUUCCAACUGUCUCAAACAUUUGUUUUUGUCUUCAUUGAUGAAGUAGAGACUGAUUUUUGAAGGGAAACAUUAUACACUCACAAAACGUAUGGUUACAAUGGAACAUUACAUGACUUACUCCACAACCCCCAGAAGAAAAAAAUUCUGAAAAGGGAACCAUGAGAAAUGAAUCAAAGACACAAUCUUUGUAUAACUCUGUUUCUAUCAUUGCAGUAAUGCAAGCUCUAUACCCUGAGUCAAUCAUACCAGUUCCAUCAGAAGCGGGUCACCCUCAGCCAUUUGCUGAACCAGUUUUAUAAAAUCUUGUUCGCUUGAUAUGCUCCAUGGGUGAACUGCAGGAGCUUUAGCAGAAUACAGACUCGAAGAAGUGUUAAACGAAGCUGAUUUCCUCUUAUAUACCAUCGAACCAAGAACCGGAUCAAAAUUCUGAGGCGAAUCCAUCGACAAAAAGAACAUCGGCACAGCCACUUUGUAAUGCAAGUCCAUAUCGCCCACGAGAUCAACAAGAUCGUUAAAGUCGGUUACGAGUCUUUUGGGCACAUAGAAUACCUCUGAACUGCAUACCUUUAAGGUCUCAUGAUUGUUCUUGGUGGCGUCCUUGUAGUUCACUUGGAAAUGAGCUGGCAUUGUACUUACAGUUUUCUUCACUAGCUCGGCUUGUACAGAAAACCAAUCAGAGUUCCCUGUUGGUUUGACUGAUGUCCAUGAUUUUGAUACCUAAAUCAUUGGUUUACAACAAUAAGUUUUCUUGUAAGGUAUACAUAUCGAGAUAGCGAUAGCGAAGAAAAAGCCGACAAUUUGAUGAGAGUAUUGUACCUUGUCUGUAGUCCAAAUCUUAGACUUGUCAGCUUGAAGUAGAUUCCAGUAAUUGAGAACUGUAUCAUCUUCAACAAACAAAAAUCCUUCUGCACUACUAUAUCGAUCGAAUAUCUUCGGUAGAUGCCUGAAAUAUACAUACAAAGUUAUUAUCAGAAGCUUGAAUUUAACCAAUAUAUAGUAAUCUUGAGCAAUCCUUACUUGUAAAUGUGAUCGAGUUUAGCUUCUUCCACAUAGAGAUCUGAGUUUUUCUGAGAAGACAAUAUCACGACAGUUUUGAAUACCCGGCCGUAAAGUAACCUCCACUCGAGUGCAGUGCGUUCAACAGGACCGCUACAAAACAUAACAAGCACUACAUUACCAAAGUUCUUCCUCCACCUAAUCAAGUUUCCUAUCUCAGUGCUCACUGUGCCAGUCUCCUCAACCCCAAGAUGAACCGAAGGCAACUUCCUAGGAACAAACUCUUUUCUAUCCCCAUGGCCAAUACUUGCUCGUGGCCGAUCCAAUUCCAGCGACAUCAAUCUCGGUUGUUGGUACCCGACAGCAAUCAAAUCCUGAAGCCAAGCAGCUGUAAAUUUCACAUCCUGUUCUGUCCAAAACCCUUCUUCAGCCAUAGCAAAGCUCAAAUCAAGGAUCGUCUCAAAGAAACUAUGCUUUUCUGAUCUCCAAGCAAGUAAAAAAUUUAUCAAACGACCAACAUUGACAUGAAGAUCCUUCUCCUCUGCAAAAGGGUAAGCCUCGAUUCUGUCAAACCGGUGAGCUGUAGGUGGAUAAACAGCAACAUAACCACCAAGCUCCCACAAAAGCCUUUGCCCCCAGUAACCUCUCAACACAUCAGAAGCCAUAGAACUGACCGAAACAGGAAGCAUUAACCCCCAAAAGGCGGACGAAUGGUAAAGAGUGUUAAAGGAAUUAACCGGCACCAUAACACCUUGAGGUAAAGCCACUUUAGGAGCAUGCUCAUCGAACUUGAUAUCAAAGGCUUCUAAAGUCGUUUUCCUAGUGAAAUAAAACACGGAAUCAACAUCCGGUAAACCGUUUGAAAUCCCUUGCUGUAUAAACUGCUUACCACCAAAAACCUCAGUGUAAUACUCCUCAUGAUUGAUCUCGCCUACAUUCUCUAAUGGCAAACCUCUAGGCCAAACCGAACGUUGUCCGAAAUGAAUAUAAGGAUUAACCACAGUCCUAUUGGGGUUCUCAUGACUAUACUGCAAAAUCGGUUCUUGCUUAGAAUCUUUACCAACUAACUCAACAUCAAAAUGCUUCCCCAGAUCUCCAUCAAUCACUUCACCACGAUCAUCGGCAUCGUAGAUCUUCUUGGCACCGUGUUGGAUAGCAAACAAGUAACCAACACUCUUCCUGACGAAAGAAUCAUAAGGCAAGUGAUCUAAAACUCGAAAUCCCAAUUCAGCUUGAGCAUCGAGAGACAAAAAGAUGGAACCUUUGAGAGUCCAAUCCUUGGGGGUCGCCGAGUUUCCAAUGGCCAGAACCUGCCAUCCACGAAUCUUGACCAAACUCUUGAGCUCCUCAGAGGGAUACUUGGUCACCGACACCACAAUCCAUUUCUCAGUAAGGAAAUUAGCGUAAGGAGAGGUCUUAUCGGAGACGACUCGGAUCGAAUUCCACUUGAUUUGAGGGCGAGAGAGAGAUUGGAGAGACUGAGUUGACUGUGACUGGAAACAAAGGAGAGAGGCAGUGUCGGUGGUGUUGUAGAGGAAGAAGAGAGCUACUACGGUAACGAUAAAGAGAGAGAAGACAGCAAUUCUGGUGAGAUUCUCAGAGAACCAAGUGGAGAAAUCUAGGUUUUUGGGUUCACUAAAUCGCCGGAUCUGUUGAUGAGUAGGGAGUUGUCUGAUCUGAGAUUUCGGCGGCUUGGCAGGAGACGGCGCCGCACGAUCCUGAACCAACAUCGGAUCAAAGAGGAAGCCCGAAACUCUCUAUAAAAUACUUCUAAAUCAGAACCUUAGAUUUGUGAUUUGUUCCACCUCAAAAAAAGGAAAAUGAGAAAUUUGGGUUCGUGUCUCACUGCAAGUAAAUGAUGUAAUGCGGUUGUUGUUGUUGUUGUUGUUGGUUGGAACUGACGUUGCUUAAGCUUCAAUGCAAUGCACACACAAAAAAAAGGAGCUUUGAUUUGGAAAGCGAAGUCUGAGAGUCUCUGUGUGAGCUGUAAGGUCAAUGCUUUGGGUUUUUCUUCUUCUAUCACCAAAGAGACAACUAAACAGUAAUUCCUCUUGAUGUAUUCUCUGUAGGACCAGACAUCACAUGAAGCAAAGCUCUUUAUAAUAUCAUUUUUGCUAAAUUGUUUAAUGCAUAUUAAUUACUUACUUUUACUUAUAGAACUAGUAAUAAGACAUACUAAUAUAGAGUACGAGGAUGAAAUUUAUCAGUGUUGGAUACUAAAACGAAUUUCCACUAUGAUGUUUUUCUAUAUACACUUAUCAGUUUUACCAACAGAAAUUAUGUACAAAUUAUUAAAAAUUAACAUAUUUUUAGAGCAGUACCACUUUUAAUAUUUAGACAUCGUUUUAUUUUUUAAUUAAGUCGGAACCAAUUUUCCUUUUCAUUGUGAAAUAGGUCUUCUCUCUGAGGCUAUAUUGCUUUUCUUCGCCGUCGAAUCCGAUCUGGAGGUCUCUUGGUUGUACACAUGGCACCCAAGGCGGAAUCGUUGAGUCUCGAAGAAGUUGCUCGCAGGGUCGCGGACAUCGUUCGUUCGACGACUUUGGCCCCGAAGGCGAUCAAGACUAUCGAUGGAUCUACGAAGAUGGAGCCAGUGCCAGUGGGGCGAGAUCAGGGAGCAAAGCCUAACGGUGCCCCUAUCCAAAGUUUCAGCAAACUCUAAUUAAUUAUUCUCCAAUAAUAGAAUGUCAAAUUUAUUUUCUUAAACGUUCUUUUUUUUUUUUUCUAAUUCGGAGUUCAUCAACCUUUGUCGAGUGUUUCCAAACAAAAGGAUUCGGCCUAAUUCAAUGUUAUCAUCGUUUCAUUUAUUUCGAAUAACUGUAUUCAGCAAGAUCCUCAAUUUGUGAUUAUAUAACCAACCCAAGGGUCAACACUUGGUAACAAAAAUAGUAAUAGCAUUCAAAAGAAAAGAUGAGCAAAUGUGUGUUCUGAGAAUGAGGUAAACUUCAAACUCUCUCAAGUCUCAACUGAAACCAUUGUCCCAAAAGCCUCACUCCAUAGUAAAAGACCAGCAACUUGUGCAAGAACCUAAGCUACAACAUGGUAAAGGUAAAUAGCGAUGGGACAAUUUGAUGAUGUAGUAGAAUCUUUGGUUCAUUACUCAGACAUUUUGAUUCUUACCAUUUUUCAAUUGCUUUCGAGACAUUAGCGAAGACGCAAAACAAGUGGUCUUUGUUCAAAACAUCUCUACAGAAAUGACAAAUGUCAAAAGCUACAGAAAAUGCUCGAUUUACCCAGUUUCAUAAGCUUGGUUCCACUUAUUCAGCACAGGGUUUUCUGAACUAAAGGCUAGGGAUGUAUCAGAUCAAAUCUUACCAUAUUCAUUCAAAAGUCAAUCAGCAACCGCUUAAGAUUAUCCGUAAGAGCUGAGCUGACUAUAAAUGGCCUUUGUUCAAAAUAUCUUCAAAACUGAACUGAGUUGAGUUUCAUCAGCCCUCACAGUUUGGGUUGUCCGCAUCCCCUGAACGAACCAUGAAGAGGUUGGGACUUUCUGAAACUAACAAUGUCUUCGAUUUCAACAGAUGGUGAUGGGACUUCCUCUUUGUCACUUGCCAUUUCCUUCAAAUGCUGGCUCCCGUAUACUCUUAUGCUCAGAGAUUUCUUCCUUGCUGCUCCAACCUUUAUGUAUUCGUCGAAGAAAUCUAUCAACUCUUGCUUCUGAAGCUGCUUCAGCGCAGCGACCUGCCAACAAAAUAAACCCAUUCUCUCAUCGAUCAGUCGCUCUCAAAAACCUUCACCCCAACUUGAACUUAAUUAUAGCUGUGAUACAACUAUUCAAAGAAGUAUAUAUGUAUGGGUCAUGGAUCAACCAAGUGUUGAUCCUAUAGGCGGUUUUCUUAGUUUAAGAGAAAAUAUAGAACGGAAAAAGCUGUUCCUGUACCUCUGCCUCUUUACGGUUGAAUUUGAGUGUUCCACUUUGAAUCUCUCGCCAGUAAAAACGGGAUUCCUCCUUCAAGUUCUUGUGUUUUUCAAGCUUCAUGUCUAUUAGAGCAGUUACAUUGCUCUAGAGAAAGAGUGACUCGUAUAAGUUAAUACCUAUGCUUGCGGAUCAUAUUGCAUAGCUAAGAUUAACUGAGAUAUAUAACUAACUGGUUGAUCAAUCUUACCUUGAAAUCCUCAUCACUCAUCUCGUAAAGUUUACUCUCAAAGUUCUUCAGUAAUGACUCCACCCUCGAAUCAAUAUGUCCAGGACCCUAUUACAGAUUUAAAAUCCAUCUAGGAAUUUAGUGAGAUGAGCCUUACUUAGAAUAUAUGACAGAGAUGGCUGGAUGGUUUAGUACCUUAACUGAGGACUGGAUAAUGAACUGAACACCAUAGAUGCCAGAAUCGUUCCUAAGUUGCAAAAGAAAGCGCGAUUAAACAGAAUUAAGGAGAUUAUUAUUAAGAAACACAAGGAAAAUUCCAGUGUACCUCUGAGCAAGUGCAGUGAUAUAACCAAGUUGCUCGACUGUUCUAAGUUGGUGAAAGGUGGCUUGCUUUGCAACGAGACCGAAUAACUGAAGUUUAAUAUUCAUGGCAAAAUCAUCUCUAUGAACCUGUUUGUGGCAACGAAAGUUACAGUUAGCCAAAGUAAUAUGAUAUCUGGAUUUAUGUUCUAAGAUUAUACCGAGAUCUACACGAAGAAACUCCAAACAAGACAUAAAAAUUGGUAGAUACUAAGAAAUUACCUGAAUAUAGUGCACUAGAGCAGAAUUUUCAUCACUGGGGUUUGAACCAUCUUGGUGAUGGAAAUACUUCAGUCCUUUUCCGAGCUCGACAACCCUAUUAGUGAUGUGCUGGGAUGGGAACAAAGGUCGGCAAAUCGGUUUUGGUUCGUUAAAAAGAACAUCUUCAAUAUGCUUGACCAUUGACUCAGCUUCAUUAUUCUCCACAUUACCUGAAAUGAAGUAAGUAUUCAAACAUCAAAGACAGCUUCCAAAGAAAGAAGAAGAAAGACAAAAACAGAAAACGUCACAGCCAAAGAAGAUCAUAGUUAAUAAAUAACUGAACAAAAAAUGUUGAUACCUGCUACAUAACACUCAAUAAAUGUCCUUGAUAACAACAUUGGAACAAACUUAGCUACGUCUUCAGCUUCCAAAUGAGAAAGGACAUCCAGUUCCUCUGUCCAAGGCCAGGUUUGAUCUUGUAAUAUCAGUGAGCAGUAAUACAUUGCUUGGUGAUAUGGCUGUCGAAAUUUGUAAUUUUGAUACUCCUUUGUGACAGUUUCCUAGUAAAGGAUAUGGAAACAGAAUAACACUGAUUCAAUUAAUCUGGUAUAGUGGACGUCGUUCAACCACAAUUAAAUUAUAAAAAGAUAGGUCUGACAUGGUUACCUUGAUAACAGCAAAUCUGUCAGGUUUAACUUCAAAAUUUGCGAUCUUUCCAACAACAGUUUCCAGCAAGGUCCUCAAUUUGUGGUUAUAACCAAGAAGGGUCAACUGAAGAACAAAAGCAGGUACGGUCAGGAAAAAUAAGAGAAAAAACAUUCAGUAAAAGAUGAGGGAAAUGUCAAACUCACCUCAAAACCAUUGUCUGAAAGGCUCACUCCAUAGUAAAGACCAGCAACUUGUGCAUAAUAAGCUAAAACACAGAACAAGUAAAUAGUGAUGGGACAGUUUUUUCAAAAUAGAAUCCUUGUGUCUUUACUCAUUUUAUUUUACUUUCUUAUACUAUAUUUCAUUUGUCUUCGAGACAUACAACAAACAUGCAAACCAAGCAGAAAACUCGAAAGCAGUAAUGACAUUUAGCUACAAGAAAUUGCUCAAUCAACAGCAUGUAGUAUUGCAUAAGACAAGUUUUGGUGCUUCAUGGACAAUUUACCAAUUUCAGAGGCUUUGUUCCACUUAAUUGGCAGAGUUCUCUGAACUAAAGCCUAGAGAAAAUCCUUAGUCGAAAGGAAAAUAUUGAGAGACGCAUCGACUGAAUCUUACCGUAUUCAUUCAAAUAGUCCAUCAGCAACCGUGUAAAAAUAUCAGUAAGAACUGCUGCGUCAGGAGAGCUGACGGCAAGUGGGCAGUUGAAAUCCAUUUUAACAUAUGCCUUCGGUUUUGAGAAAAUUGUAUCUGGCUUGUACCACAAUCUUGAAAAAGGCGUUUUUCUCAACAAAACUGGAAUUGUUUCCUGUUCCAGAACUUGAUCACAUAAGAUGACCGCUUCAUGCAUUAGAAAAUUUAAAAGAUUCUUAUAAUUUAUGCAAUGAAAUUGAACCUUGUCUUUAGCAUCCUUUAAUGACAAAUCUGUAGGAAUAAAGACAUUAGGCGCUGGUAAAUGCAGAUUUACAUCAGGAGCAGACUGCACCCAUUCCUGUAAUUAUUUUACAUAAACCCACAAAUUUAUCAAAGAACAAAAUUUGUUCUAACAAGACUUGAAGUGGAGGUAGUAGUCGCAUAGAAAAUAAAUGAAUCAUUUCGAGCUAAUAUAACGCAUCAAAAAGUAAACCUGAAUGGUGGAAAUGGUUAUCUUCUCAAGAGAAUAGGCAGUGUUAUACCAAGGCUCCGCCUUGUCAGUAAGUCCUUCAAAUUUCUGUGAUUCCCAAAAAAUUCUACAAAAAAGCAAUGGAAUUAGCAAAAUUCUUUGAAAUUCCAGUGCUUUAAAUAGUAAACUCUGAUAACUUGACGUAAAAGGUAAAAGUAAACUCCAGAAAAACAAAAGGGAAUAGUACAUAAAUUAGCCAUCAUAUAUAUCAAUAGCAAUAAAAGCCUCAAGUGCCAUCCUCAUUUAUUUUUCAGAAUAAAUAGAAAAAAAAAAUGUAAAGUUAGCUUAGGCGAAGACCACAAUUUCACCAUAACUUUAAUGUAUGCAAAGUAAAACUCUUAACCACAGCCUUACCGAACUUUACUAGGAGAAAGCUCAUCGACAACUUUUUGUAGAAUCGCUGGAUUAAAUUUCGUAGGCAAUGAUGAUCCAACCAGCCAAUCCUUGGUCGGAUAUAUCUGAAGAGUAAUAGCAAAGGAUACAGAAGAUUUUAAAAGAACUGUUAUUUCUUAGCCAUGAGCAUAGGUUUGCGCUUUAAUGAUACAAAUUACAAAACUUAAGUCACUUUUCCUAACUUUCAUAUGCACGAUUUAUUGAAGGAAUGAUUGAUGCCAUGGUAACAACAGCGGUAAGCAUGUUUAAAAAUAAAGCUUACACAAAAGCAAAGAGCUAAAAUGAUCACCUGCAUGUUUGAUGCAAUAUCCACUAUAUAGGACAUUGGUGGUAUUUUGUCUUGAUAAUGAAAUUUCGUCUCACAAAUAGCUGAGAGCUUUAAUAGCAAUAAACGAUGUAUUAGCAAUAUUAAAGUCAAAAGUAAUAAAAACACAGUAAAAAAAUGGGAAGAUACAAUCAUAGCAUAUCAGUAGCAAUAUAUAGAAUGCUGUUGCAUAUCCAUACCUCAUCAAAAAUCCACUGGCAAACACCAGUCUGUUGUAAUAGCUGAAUGUAGUUGAACAGCAGCCCUAAAAUCUCUUGCAUGUGCUCUGUAAACCCACCAAGGAGAAAACCCAGAAAUUUAUCAUGUAGUUACCAAACACCAAACACACCCAUACUUUCUAUUCACACAAGUCAUCAGAAUACUGUUGUGAACUUCCUCGAAUGAAAAAAAAAAAAAAAAUAGAAAAGAAAAACCCACCAUGGCCAGCAUCGGUAAGAUCAAUUGAAACCUUGAAGAAAGAAUAAUCUAGAGUCCACUCUCCUUCACCAGCAGAAAGUCCCGUUGCCCAACCUGCAAGCAAUAAGAAGAAUUAAGCCAGACUACUAAAUGUAGUAAUCGAGCAUGUUUCUUCAGGGAAUAACAUCAGCAACCUGUCCCAACCAAGAAGUUUGUUUACUUGACUAGGAUGAAACUCUCUAAAAGACAAAGACGUCCACUUUCAAUAAGUGGUUUUAUAAAAUCCUCCCAUGCUACUCUAUGAAAAAAGUAGUUAGGGCACCCCAGGCUACACUCCAUGCCAAGAUACCAGAAAAAAAAAGAAGAUUUUAUCUAUACCAAAUGAAACACCCACAGGUUGUUCUGAAGUAAUUUUCUAAUUAUCUUUUAGGGAACCGAGUCUUGUCACAUUUCAAGAGGGUAAGAGAAGGAGAUUGAAGAUUGAACUUGAUGUGUGCCCAAUAGAAAACCUACCCAAGGUUUUUAGGGCAUGAAACAAACUUCCUUCACCCUCAUGACCAAUUAGAUGCCCAAGGUACUGGCUUGGUGCUUCCUCGUAAUGAUGAAUACUAGGAGUUACUGGCCAUGAAACACCCAGCUUGUGUCCUUGCUUUAUCGGAACAGCCUUCACAAGAAUCUAAAACCAAAAUAAUACAAUAGCACCGUAAACAUUCUAGCAUGAUAUAUCUUCAUUUCAAAAUAUAAUUUAAAUGUUCGGAAGGAAAAAAUAACCUGCAAAUGGUCAUCAGUACAUGGCUGGCCAGGAAAUCUAGGGACAACUUUGUUGGUGUUUUGGAUUUCCUGGAACAUCCCUUCCACAAGAUCUUGAAUUUUAUCAAGGCUUUCUGAAAACAUUCAGAGCAAACCAUUAGCACAGGUGUUACCUAAUUAAACAUUUUUAUCUCCUUAUAAAAGAAAAUCUGAGUUUCGUGUUAGCACCAAAACAUACCCUUCCCAUAGACAACCAGAUGCAUGAGGUUGGCAGAAUAAUGUUCCUCAUAGAAUUUAAUAAGCUCACUUCUUGUAUCCACUCCUUUCGCUUGGGGUCGUACAUGAAGUGUAUCCAUGUUCCCUAAGCACAAACCUCACUUGUUUAGCAUGAGAAAGAUAUUGGAAUCACAACUGACUAUCUGUAUUCAUCAGAAUAAAUCUCUAUCCAUGAGUGGCAGUCAACAGUAAUAACAGUAGGAAAAUUAUAACAUAUACCUGUGCUAAACUUGUGAUACGGAUGGUCUUCUUUGCUAAGAUGCUUUUGUAACUGUUACGAAGAAAAUGAAGAAAAAUGAGUCAUAUACAUAAAAAUAACUCUGAAUAUUGUUUUUAAGACCAGAGAUAUACCUGUCGAAUUCGCCAACCAUCAGAGAGUAAGUUUUUUUGAUUUUCUGGAGAAAGAAAACUCAUUAUAACCUGUUUAGUUCAAAAACUGCAGCAAGAAAAACGUAAAGAAAAAUAAAAUCGAGCAAACCUGAGUCAACAGCCUUAAUUUCUCUCAUCGUAGCAUCAGCUGACAUUAGUGGUUUGAUAAAGAACUGAGCAAAUCUGAUUUAAGCAGCAACAAAAGAAUCUUACACACGGAAAAACAAAUGGUAAAAGAUUAGAGAAGAUUGUUAUCAAGAGUAAAACAACACCAACUGUACCUGUCCAAAGCCUCAACGAAACAGUCAGCAUUAACAUCAAAAUGGUAGUUUGUCUCUUCAGAGGCUGUAUAUGCAUUUGUGCUACCUCCAUGCUACAUCAAGAAAAAUCCAUAUCUAUUAUAUCGAGUGAAUAAAGAACAAAAACUUGGAGUAUGUGUUGAGUACAAAUCACAAAAAUUGUAUGGAUAUACAUAAUACCUCUGUGAUGUACUUGGAGUAACUAUCUUCCUGCGGAUAUUUUUCACUUGCAUAAAAUAGCAUAUGCUCUAACAACCAAAAAUCCAAUAGCAAACCAUUAUAACAAAUUCACUCCAUAUUAAAACUAGAUAGUUUAAUCAAUGAAAGAUAGCACAGUGCUUGAAUCAUUCCAUGGCAAAUAACUAUUGUGUACACGAAUUAAGACGGUACAAAUUUCAAAAUCCUGAGAAACUCGACUUCUACAUGAGACAGUAAAAAACUUGAAAAUUUUAAAGUACCUAGGAAAUGAGCAAUCCCUUCUAAUCCUUGUGGGUCAGAGAAGGAUCCAACACUAACGCUCAUUGAAGCAGCACACUUGAAGAAAAGAAUCAAAGUAUACGAAUCAGUAAAAAACAUAAAAAAUCCAAAACUAAAUACCACAAUUCAAAUCGUAGCGAUCUCAAACCUUAUCCGUAUCGGGAUCGCUGAUCAACAGGACCUGGAGCAAGUUCUUCAGGACAAUCAUCCUAUAUUCCCUGCUGUCCGUACGUGGCUUCAGUAUCUCAGCACCUUGCACCGUCGUGUUCGAUUUCUCGACGGCCAUCUUCGUUUCGAUUAGGAUUAUGUUUCGUCUUCGGUGGGUCGUCUUCGCUCUUUACCUCACUUUUCCGGCGUCUAUUCUUUUUUUUCUUCUGUGCUCAGACUCAGACAAAUACAGAGGAAUAGAGGAAUUUAUCUACUGUGCUAAUGUCUACGUCUGAAUAUUAUCGACGGUAUACGUUUAGGCACGUCAUCCGAAUCCAACAGCCUACCACAAACAAACUUAAGUCAUUUUUAUAUUAUGAAUAUAUUCCCAUAAGAGCUAUAGAAGAAGUCUUAUUAAUGUUGACCCUGUUUGUUAUAAGUCUUUGUAAAAAAAAUUACCUUCAAAUAAUGUUUUUAUAGAUCACACUUCAGUUUCAAUCUGUCAUAUAUUUUAGCAAUACAUGUAUAUGGAAUUAUGGACAAGUGAUGAUGUAUAUAUAUUAUGUAUGCCCGGCCCGCAGCAACUCCAGUGAUAUUGCUUGCUGCCAGUACCAUCUCAUAUAUCUUACUAUCUUAGCAUUACAUACGUUAGACAUUAACACAUUGCAAUAAUGCAUCACGAAAUACUUCAUAUAUACAUUUAUACAUAAAAGCAUCCCAUCCUGUUUUUCGUUUGAUUUUUUUUCCUUUAUAUGAUUAAUGAAAUUAUAUAACUUACUUUAUAAACCUAAUAUCGUCUUCAAAAUUACGAGUAUUUAAGAUAAAAACUAACUGACAGUUAGUAAGAAGGUGCAUGUAUAUAUAUUUUUGAGGAGGCACGGUCUCACUUCCCAAUUCCCAUGUGUAACAUUAAAGAGCUCGUUAUUGCUUUUUUUUUUUUCCUUUCUAUUCGGAAUACUUUGUGUCAUCGAUCAACCAAGUACAACUGCACAAAUCAUCACUUCUAUGAUCAAAAACUCUUGUGCAGGGGCUUACGGUAAACCGAGUACCACAAAUACUAGCUAAUAUAUCAAUUAAAUGACAACUCUACUAAUUAAGUUGAAAACUCUUUCAUCCUUCUCUUUUAAUUUCAUUUUACAGUUUCCAUACAUAUUAGAUAUAUUUCUGCGUCACUGGUAUGAGUUACAAGAUUAAUGACGACGACAAUAACAACAAAAAUGUAGAGCAACCACAAAUUUCUUACGUAUAGAAUAUGAUAUGUCGUGUUUCUCUUCUUCUUAUUGUAAUAAAGAAAAUAUUCAGUCUCAUAAGAAUCCACAAAUUGUUAAUGGGCCGGGAGAACAACAACACUAUCAAGAACAGGCCCACAAAGAUGGCCGAAAUCAUGAAGCUUUGUAUGAUAAAACGCACUAUAAAAGGUUAGCCUCGUUCGAUUCGAAUCGGCCACAAACCUGAAAUGCCCCGUUUUGAACGCUCCCUUACCUUCUGACAUAAAAGAAAGUUUAAAUGGCUCUUUUCCCGCGAACGCUUCCACCAUCAUCGACCCGUGGCAGCCGUUUUGUGCAUCGCCUACCGCGUAUGAGAGCAUGUAUGCUUUACCAGCGAUGGUACGGAUGAUCUGUGCGAUUGCACUUUCUCUACCAGCAACGAGCUCAACGGCUGCUUGUCCGUAAGGAACUUUAAAAUGACGCCUAUCGAUGUAUUUCACCGGUUUGAGGGAUUCAACGAUCCAUCCCGGAAGCGGGGAGAUAAAAUCUUGGAUCCUUGCGGGAAUCAAGAUUCCGGUUGAGAAAUUAGCGAAAACGUGUGGACCAACCUCGAAACCUCCAUUUUUCACCAAGUUACCUAAGAUGACAAAAACAAAAGUUGACCGGCUUAAUAUACACACAAAGCUAAAAUAUAAGGACCAAGUUGCAAAAACAAAAAUAAAGUAAACCGGAUAUGUACCGGUUAAUUGAUUUACCUCUGGUAUACCGGAGAGGAAGAAUCUCCUUGAUAGCGACAACAUCUAAGAGAGGUCCACAGGUGCGGUCUUCUUGAACACCAGGGUUAUGGAAAGUGACCUUAACCACAUCGGACAUUGCCUUGAAAGCCCAAGCGUAAGUGUCUCCACCAUCUGAGCUAAAUACGGUCUGGAUGGGAAGCUCAUUGGCUUGACCAGGCACAGAGACUUUGAUAUUCUCGUCCUGAGCGCAAGUUCUAGUGGCUCCGAACGUCAGAGAGUAGACUAAGCCACGCUUCACUUUCAAGUCCUGAGAGAUGGUACCUAAGCUUCCUAAUCUAACCGCGUGGACUCCACGUGGGACUGGAAAAUAGAAUCCUCCCGGCUGAGGUCCACCGGAGACUAGCUCCACGUGGCCGGCGAUUUGCCAGUGAGGGAGAGAGUUAGCGCCGAUUAUUUGUCGACCCUUCAUGUUUGAUUUGAGAGGGGUUUGCUCAAAGUUUCCAUUUGGAAGAAGCCCUAUAGAUAUGGAAACCACAAAUGUUAAUUACAACUUCGUUCGUGCAUGGGAUAAAUUGAUCUAUAUAGAGAUGAAUAUUACAACUUCAGUUGGUUAUCUUACCGUCUAGAUGAGGAAUUCUACGUGGUCGGAGGCUGGGAGAGCCAUGGCAGAGAGAGAGAAGGAGCAGAAAGCAAAGAGAGUGAUAGAUUGACAUUUUAAAGUCUUAUUAAUUAGUUGGCCUAUAUCAAAUGAGGCUCAUGUGGGCUAUAUAUAGCGGUUACACUGAGAUUUUACAAACAACAUAAAGAAACGAAGAGGAAGCAGCAGCAUGUACAUUUUUGGAUAUACACAAUAAUAAAUUUGUUUAUUUAAAGAUGGUUUUUGUAGACGUAGACGAAGGGAAACUUGAGCCACGUUGAAGACCGCACCUUACGAGCCGCAAUGUAUGACUCACUGUCUGUCAUGUUAUUUCGAUUAUGAAAAGAUCCAAUACCAUUUACUAAUUAGUACUUUACAGGAGGCAUCAGUUAUAUUUAGUGUGUGCAGUGCAGUGAGAUACCACUAGAUGUAGUUGGCUAUAAAUAAAAUGAGGUUAUCAGAUGCGACGCUGAAAAAUAUGUGACGAACCUUCCAAGCACAGAGUUUUCUAUAACAGAUAUAAUACGAGUCGAUUGGUAACGCAACACGAGCGACGAUAUCGAUGUGAUAAUUAACAAAGUACAGUGGAUAUCAUAGUAUGUUGUUUAACUGAUAUGCUGGAUUCAAAUUGGUAGAUGCACCCUGAAUUAAACCGACCAAAAUUGAAAUUAUUUCUGUUUAGCUAUAUAAGUUUACAACUGUACGUAUAUGUACAUUGCAUCAUACGUAAGAUUAGAUGAAACAUAUAUAUUCACUUUUUGGUUUUUCUUUUUUUUUGGACAAAAACUUUUUGGUUCUUUUAUAUGCAAUAGACUAUGUAAUAUAUUAUUGUGUUUGUUUUAAUAAAGCUUCACGUUUAACUUUAAAUAUUAAACCUUUAACGUUUAAACAAAGAAAACAGUCGGUGAGAUUUACGAUUAAUAGCGCAUGUGUGUGUGUACACAUUACACAAGAGACAUGAAACGCAGUCCACAUAUGGUCUCCGCUGAUUAAUCAUUAAUCAUCGCCAUGAUUUGCUCUUUAAGUCAAAUUUACGUCCAUAGAAAAUAUAUAAGCUUUUGAUUUGACUUUUAUUUGUGGUUUUAAUCCUGAAUCUAAUUUUUUUAAUAUGUGAUGUAUUUGAUCUACAGAUCCACAUAUUUAAAUUAUCUUGUAAGACUGUUCUGUGUAGUAUGCACUUUUUGUUAGCCAAAUACUAAAUGUAACAAUACCAAUGACUACAUGUAAUAUUGGAUCAAUAAACAUAAAUAUUUAUAUAUUAAAAUAUGUUUACAGAAGUCUAGAAAAUGUAAUUGAAAUCGAAACACCGACUUUAUAAUGUCUUAAUUUCGACGAAUAGAGAAUGUAGUAGUAUUUAUUAUACUUUAUAUAGUAGGAUAUAUUAUAAGUAAUGAAAUUAGAUUUAACGGGCCAGGACAACCCUAACAUUGUCAAGCACAGGCCCACAAAGAUGUCCAAAAUCAUGAAGCUUGGUAUGAUAAAACCCACUAUAGAACGUUAUUCUCGUGCGGUUCGAAUCGGCACGAAAUGCGAAACGCCCCGCUUUGAACGCUCCUUGCCCAUUUGAAUCGAAUUUUACUUUAAACGCCGCUUUUCCCGCAAACGCCUCAACCAUCAUCGAUCCGUGACAACCGUUGUGUGCGUCUCCAACGACGAACGAGAGGAUGUAGUUUCUACCGGCGACGGUACGGAUGAUCUGAGCGAUUGCGCUUUCUCUCCCGGCGACGAUCUCGAUUGCUGCGAGACCUGAUGGGACCUUGAAGUGGCGGUUGUCUAUGUAUUUGACCGGUUUUAGAGAUUCGACGAUCCAUCCUGGAAGCGGUGAGAUUAGGUCUUGUAUCUUCGCCGGGAUUAAGAUUCCGGUAGAGAAGUUGCUGAAUACGUGUGGACCGAUCUCGAAUCCGCCGUUUUUCACAAGGUUUCCUGAUUAAUAUUCACGUAAACAAAACUAAAGUUAGGGGGUGAAAGAAAGAAUAAUUCAAAUCUAAGGGCCAAAUUGCAAACAUUAUAGUAGAAGAAAUGUGUAUGCGGGAGUUUUGGUUAAACCUGGGAUCCAACUAAACCCGGUUUAAUAUAAUGUACAUCGGUUAAUGAAAAAAACAUUAAAAUGCUAGCUAAAAUAAGAACUAAGCCGAACCGGAAUUGAAAGUUAUAUAUAUAUAUAGAGUACUACCUUUGUUAUACCGGAGAGGAAGAAUCUCCUUGAUGGCAACAGCGUCAACGAUAGGGCCACAAGUAGGGUCUUCUUGAACACCAGGAUUAUGGAAUGUGACCUUAACCAAGUCAGACGUUGCUUUGAAAGCCCAAGCGUACGUAUCACCACCAUUGGUACUAAACAAUGUUUGGAUUGGGAGCUCAUUGGUCUGACCGGGCACAGAGACUCUGAUGUUCUCGUCUUGGGCACAAGUCCUAGUGACACCAAACGUUAGAGAAUAGACCAGCCCACGCUUCACUUUCACAUACUGAGAUAUCGAUGCUAAGUUUCCUAGCCUAGCUGCGUGGACUCCACGUGGCACCGCGAAAUAGAAACCACCGGGUUGUGGACCGCCGGAGACUAACUCUACGUGGCCGGAGAUUUCCCAGCGGGGAAGGGAGUAUUUGCCAAUUAUCUGCCUCUUUCUCAUGUUUGAUUUGUUAGGGAUUUGCUCGAAGUUUCCAUUUGGGAGAAGCCCUGUAAAAACAUCAUGAAAAGCCAUUAUUCAUAUUUACACCAAAUGUGAAAACUAUAAUUUAAUUUAUGAAUCUACUUGGUAUUGGCGGAGUUGCUUAUUACACCAAUCUUACCACAAUCUAAUUUUUUUCGAAAUACUAUUCUCAUUGUGUACAUUAAUAUCCGUGACAUAUGAUAUCAUAGUCGAUGUUAAAUAUAUAUACUGUAUAUAUUACUCCGGCAAUGUUGAGUUUUAUUGAUGAAAAAAGUAUACAUUAGCUGUUUGAACGCCAUAUAAUUUGGUUGAUUGACUUAGUUAGAUUUUGCUUUAUAUCCUAAAAGACCUAUUAAUUUUACAACACGUUAUUAACAAAACCAAAAAAUUACAACAAGUCAAUUCCAAAACUUUACUUCCUAGAAUUCUUAAUACAUACCAAAAGAAAACAAAUAACAUGCAUCGACCUACAUGAUAAUUUAGGCACUAACUAUAUUGGAGUGGUCUUACGUACCAUCAAGAUGAGGAGUCGUCCGUUGAGCAGGGAAGCUAUGAGAACCAUGGCAAAGAGAAGCAAGGAAGACCAAGCAAAGAGAGAGAACGAGAGACAUCGUCGUGAAUAUACGCUAAAGUACUGACGCCCGACUAAACAAAUCUAUCAAUUGCCACCUACUAAAGGGCAUGCACAAGAGAGUUACUUAUGCAAUGGGGGUGGUGAUAUAUGCACAAGUUCCUACUAGCUAUAUAUAGCCGACCUACGUAUUUUACGUCGUCUUUUGGAAUCAUUCAAGAUAAAGAUUAAUGAUGGAAAAAAAUAUAUAUAUUAAUGAUGGAAGAACAAUAUAAUAAUGUUAAUACGGCGAUGCACCGUACGUAUUAAUACGAAGGUGGUGAUAAUAGCAAAAUAAAGAUAAGCAGGAGAGCACGUUGAAUAUAUAUCGCCACUAAAUGAGCCGCAAUGUUUGUGGUGUGUGGCCGUACUGUCCGUUCAUGUUAUUCAUCAUUCAUCAAAAAGCCACUUGCUAUUUGCUUUAUCUUCAAAUGUUGACAUAUAGUAAUUAAACUACUAUUCUUAAAUUAAUCAUUCAUUUUGCAAGUCUAAUCGUGUCCGACGAUUAUAAACUGUUUCAUUCAGCCAAUUUUUUAUUUUUUUUAUCGAUUACCAAGGUCAAAGAGUAUACUAGUAUUCAUUGUAGACUUAAGUCUAUGCAUAAAGAUCUUGUCUAAACAAAUGAAUUUUAUGAAUUUACAUUACCGUGUAGAAUCUAUAGAUCACAGAGAGAUAUAAAAGCUAACUUUCUACCAAUAUAUGCAUGAACUUAUAAUUAAAGUAUCGAAUAUUGUUGGCUAUAUUGUCUGAUAGACUGAUACUGUACGUAUAUAUAUAUGUGAAUGACAUACAAGAAAUGGAUUGUUAAAACACAUUCUAAAUCAGACUAACAACAAAUUAACUACGACUUUUCUGUAUCUACGUAAAUUGAAUCUCAAGCAAAAUAGAGACAACUUUUCGGUUCUUUUGGGGAUAAUAACAUUUUGACAUGUUAUCAACUAGGUUUGUUGGGAUAAUUAAAUAUGAGCAACUACUUGCGUCAUUAAUUACAUGUGUAGCAACUUAGUUACGGAUGCUCAUGUGUCGGUACUAGUUACGUCAUUAGUUACUCGGCGUGACUUGCGCUCCGAGUCAAAUACUACUUGAAAACCAAAUACCAAAUACAUGUUUUCCAAAGUAAUAAUAAUGGAGAAACUUUUUUUUUUUUUUUUUUUUUUUUUUUUUUUUUUUUAAUAAUGGAGAAACUUGACAGCAUACGUAUACACACAUACACAUGAAUAUGCGCUCCUCUGUCCUUUUGGGUACAACUAACGAUUUCAGGAAAAAAAAAAAAAAACCUGCCGUACAAAACUGUAUAAAUAAUAAGCUAAUAAAAUUCGAAUUAUAGUGCGCAGAUUAUAAUUUGGGACAACUAAAAAAGAAAGAGAUGAAAUGUAUCUAGGGAUAUAUUACCCAUAACAUUUGCGUAAUUGUAGAACCGAUGGUUCUUUUAGUGAAUUAUUUCGAUUGAAUCUUCAUCGUAUGAUUAUAUAUAUAAUCAUAUCAAUUUAUAUGUCAUAACUUUAUUUUCAGCUAUCUAGCGAUCUACGACUUCUGUAGUGACACUAACCGGCUAGAGCUUUAUUCCAUUCUCAUUAAGUUUAUUUAUACUUUGCUUUUUGUGAGUCAACGUUGGGCUGUCGACUUCCCAUGUUCAUAUCUUCAAGGAUUACAUCUUAUAACAUUUAUGGACACGAAAAUGUGGAUCCUAUCAUGUGAAUUUUUAUGAUAAGUCAACGAGCUUUUUUUUUUGUAACCAUAUAAUAUUAUCAGUCAACAACGAGGGAUCAGCAUGUGGAUGAUGAAUUCUUCCAAGAAAAAGAAAGUAUGAAGAAUGUAAUCUCCCUCCUCUUCAUUAAACCCUACACCUAAAUUAAUAUCCCAUCCCUCAGCAAAUACAACUCUAGCUUACCUAGCUUGUGCUCGUUCUCGUAGAUCCUUCAUAAUAGGCAUGCAUGUAUAUAUGCAUCUAGUUUCACUGCCUCUGCAACUAUAAAACGACAAUGUUAGAUCAACAUCAAUUAUAUAUCUACGCUUUUUUCCAUUUAUAUUGGUUUCAGGCUGAUGAGAUACAUUUUUGGAUGUGUACUCUUAUUUUUCAGGGCAUAUGUCUUUUUUUUGGCACGUAGAUCAUGAGCAUAUGUCUUUUUUUCUUUUUCGAAAACAAGUGAUCUCAUCAGCCUGAAACCAAUAUAAAUGGAAAUAUGAGAAAAGCUUAAACACAAAAAUGAACUUAAGGAAACAAGAAAGAAAUAAAGUAUAAUGACCAUAUGUAACUAUAAGAUUUGAGUUUCAAGAAAUCUAUAUCUUUGAUCGGAAUUGGAGGAAGAACUUUGCCUUGUUGCUUCAUGCUUGCGAUGCGAACACUAUAGGGUUUGUCUCGGCUUGAUUUCCUGUGUCUAGCGCGACCCAUUCAUCGUCGUAAAGGAAAAUAAUCAAACGAGAAGCAGGAAUUCUUGGUUUAGUAGGAUUUUCGAAUACAAUCGUCUUAUAAUAAUAAUCUACAUCAGGCCCAUAAGUUUAUAGUUGAGAACAUUGAGGCCCAGACUAUGAGCCCCGUUCCGUUUCGGUUCACUUUUUCUAAACGGGAAAAUUGUAGUAGAUUAGAUCCAUGGCCCUUGUGAUCCUAAAUUGUAAAUUCCUAAGUUUGAAAAUAGAAUUUGUUGUUGUCUUUUUUUUUUUUUUUCAUUAUAAAGAAAAUUAAUGUUCUCACCAAAAAAGAAAAGAAAAUGAAUGUUGAAAAAGUGAUAAGGGAAAAACAAAAGAAAUGUCGAUGAAUUGCUUAAAAGAAGAGGGACAGACCAUGAUCCAAAGGUCAUGAUAUGUGUCCGAUAAAGCGAGAGCUAAAGUCUCAAUCAAUAUUACUGCCAAAAACAUAUUUCUAUGGAAAUAUAUUUAUAAUCACUUUCUUUUGAAAAAGCAAUAGCCAAAAAAAAUAAAAAUAAAAAGAAUGAUGAGAAAUAAUAUAAUCCAACAAAAAAGUGGGGAUAGCUCUUUCCUUCAACCUUCCACAUGCCCCAUUUGGUACACUACAAGAUGGACAGCCGAGUCCUGUCCUUUUGACGUUUCCUCUUUGUUCUCGUUUUUUUCUUCUAAACAUAUAAUAUAUUUUCUAUAUAUACAAGGGAUACAUACUAGUGAAAUUAACUUGCUUGGUCUAUAUGUUAAUUCAAUAUUAAUUAAUCAAAAUACUGGUUAAACCACUGCAAUAGUUAUCAUCUACUAAUUCACAUAUAUCAUCUACUACCGUAACUUGAAUCCAUAUGAUUAACAUACCGACAUCACUAGCAUAACAAACCACUAUGUCUUUUCCUAUUUUAUAAAAUCAAUGUAAAUAACUAUAGAACAUUGUACCUUUCAUAAUUAUAAAGUUACAUUAUACAGAUAAAUAAAUAGGAAGGUUUAGGAAUUCAUGGUUACAAAAUGGAUUUUGAUGAGAAAAAAAAUUCGAACAUUUUCCACAGAACACUCAUUCAUAUCGUACGGUUGGUAAAAGCUUAAACAAAUAUAGUGACUGAAUAAAGGAGAACAAUAAUAGUAGUAGUAGUUUUGGUACGACACUUCACAUAUCCGUAAUGAUGUGAGCAUAAAUCUCGGCAUAAUCUACGUUUUAAUUUGAGAGUUCGAAAGCAAAAGUCAUGAAUAUGCACAAAAUGAUUACGCAGAAAGUCAGGUUCUGAUAUAAGUAUGUAAAAGCAUUCACAAGCUAAUGACUUAGUUUUCAUUGUAAUCAUUGGUUAACAUAUUCUUAUAGUUAUAUAAACUAUAUAUUAAUGAAAGUUUAAAACAACAAUUAAGUACACAAUUCUCAUUUCCCCUUCUUCACGAGUUUAAAGCGAGCUGCAGGUGCCUCCAUCAUUCUGUUUUCUCUAUCUUUUUUUUUUUUCUUGCUACUCAUGCAUCUUAUGAUUUGUCUUUUAACUGAUUCGUCUACUAAAAAAUUAUCUUUGCUGAAAGGUUUAAAUUUAUAUGCAUAAGUAGCAUUCUCAUAUAGUGAAACAUGUGAAUGUUCAAUCAGAAACAAACCCAAUUAAUUCUAAAUGUACCGGGAAAAAAUAGUAAUCAAUUAUAGCUGAAAUUAUGAAUAUUUAGACUUCUUCUUUCUUCACUAGCAUAUAUAAGCUAGCUCUUUGAAAAAUUUCUAGCAUGAUAAAAUAUAUAGUAAACAAAAAAAACAGAAGUUCAUCGUUUUAGUGGUACAGUUUGAAUCGUGAAAACUCACUUUAAGAAAAAGAAAGAAAUCUAAGAAAGUAUAAACCUAGCUUGCUAGCAAGAGUUAAAAAAAAAGUAACAAAAUUGUAAGUAGGAAUUUAAAAAGAAAAAAAACGAUGGGACGGGGUGGUGGUGAGUGGUGGUGGUGGUGGUGGUCGGAGCAGACAGAGAAGGGUCCUACAAUUCGCCUAACCGUAAAGAGCCACAUUCCUUUUUCCCACUCUUUCUCCUUAUUUUCUCAAAAUCCCAUAUAUAAUUCUUUGCAGCCAUCUUAAUCUUAUUAGUUCUACUCUCUAUAUAUAUAUGUCGUAUAUUGUUUGUUUUAAUUUAUUAUAUAUGAUCUUGCUUAUCCUUUGCUGACCAAAUAAUCUUAAUUAGAGCUAGUAAAUCUAGGUUUUCUCGGAACUCAAAACUCAUCUUCUUUAGAUUUUCUUCUUUUAUUUUGGAAUGCAUGUUUUCUUUUAUAGCUAGUUUGCCAACAAAGUACGUAAGUACAAUUUGAGUAUGAAAUCUUCUCACCUAUUAUUCGAGUAUUUGAAUCUUUCUUUCGCUACUUUACAUAAGUAUCUAUUUACCGAACUAGAGUUACUUUUUAAUAGAGUUACUUAUAUAUAUCUGGUAAAGAUAUAGGAUAAAGGAAUCAAAAUUUGUUUCAAUGCAUGAUCAUAUAGAUCACUGAUAUAUACUCUUGCAACAUCGAGCAGAAAACAUGGUGUCAUAUAAACAACAUUUCUUUGAUAUAAUUUUACCAACUAGCUUGAAAUGUACACCAGUACAAGAGAGUUUGAAUCCACUUUAGCUUAGGUCUUUCGGAUAUAUAAGUACCACAGUAUUGUCCUCAUAGCUUUCAUGUGUAGCAAGUCAAUGCUUAGUUAGUAACUGACUAGAGACAUUCUAAAUUACCAAUACUUUUCACAACUAUUAACUAACGGAUUAAACCGGAUAAUUGAAUCGGAUUUCAAGUUGACUAUCGAGUGUGUUGGCCAGACGUUAACCCAAAACCAAACUUCAACUAAUUAAUAUCGAAUAAAACGAUUCAUUCUCGAAUAUAAUAUAAUUUAUUAUUAGUUUCUCCCACUAUAUAAUGUAGUUUAUGUACGUAAUGAUGUUUACUGUUGGGUUGUUCGUUAUUAAUAACACAACAAUAAACAUAAAAACCAGAACAAUUGAAAUUCUAAGUAGUCAAAGACACAUUGAUAAACACGUAUUAUAUGAUAUGCCCGACAUCGUUUUAUGAUGUUUUGAGGUUGUUUAUUGAGGAACAUCAGAAGCUUAAGACGCAACUUCGAUAUAGAAAAAAAAAAUCCCAGUACAAUUGCUAUGUUUCAAUUUUAAUAUGCAAGACAUUUAAUUUUGUCCUUAGAGAGAAAAAAAACAUAUAGAGAUAUAAUCAAAAGAUACUAAUCUUGAUGUUAGGGCCGGACAUUUGAGAAAACAUGUCUUCUACCAACAAGAUUUGACAAAUCGUUUAUUACAUAGUACUGUACUUAUUGAGUAUGCAUGAGAGUAUCUAUCUAACAACAACAAAAUUUACAUUUAACACACAGUGUCUCUCCUCGAUCGAGAGCGAAUAAUAAUAAUCUUACACUCCGUGUGAUUUGUUAAUCUUUAUAGUAUAAUACGUAGUAUAUAUAUUCAUGGACCAUGAAUGUCAUCAAAAUUUGGUAACUUCAAACAUCGAUCGUGGUUUCAAGUAAUCAACAAAACACACCACACAAAAGUAUAUAUUGACAAUACUUUUAUGGGCAAAGUGAAAGUAAACCCUUAAGUUUUUUCCAUUUGAUUCUCAAUAUAUUUAUACGUAAAAGAAAAGUAUGUAAAACUUAGGGAAAAAUCAUGAUUUGGUAUUUACCUUGGGAUAAUAAAAAAAGAUAAGUAAAAAGAAUAAGAAAGAGUAAAGAUUUGAUAAAGAAAUAUAUUUACCUCUUUGGUAUUGAACAUUGUGACAGUAUCAGUAUGGUACAGAAAUAACGUCAGAAGGAAAAGAAUUAUCAAAAAUAACGUACACUGUACAUUUUUUCUAUUAUUAAUUUUUAUAUAUAUAUAUAUAUAUUUAAAUUAAGUGUUUUUACAAAAAAAAAAGCAGAAAAAAUGUGUCAGAAAGAUUUAUGCAGCUUUCAUUCAUUCAUCACUUGCACUGUCUCGUGAUGAAAAUUAAACUUUUUGUAUCAGAAAUUAUUAAAAAUUACAUUUAAAAAAAAAAAAACAAAUACAUUAAAAAGAAGGAAAAGAAAAAAAAAAUUCCCUCCUUUACAAAGUGCGUUUGCUUUGUGGAGUCUCAUUCUCUCUCCUCUGGUAAGUGAGAGAGGAUCUUUGUUUGUUUGGUUCUGCAAUCAUAAUUUCGUGAUUUACUAAAAAUGUAUUCUCUUCUUCUUCUUCUCUCUUAUACGCAUAGAAGACCCUACUCUAUGAUCUUCUUCCUCUCUUCUCUUUGUUCUCUCAUGGAUUUUUCCUUUUUUUCUCCCUAAAAUUAUGGGUUUUGUUCUUUCUCUCUCUCUCUCUCUCUCUCUCUCUCUCACACUCUAAAGCACUUGUCUUUCUUUCUUUGGUCAGAAAUCUAAAGAUGGUUUUUGUUCCGAAACAGUUAUUUUGACUUCAGAAAACCAGAAGCUUUAAUCCGGGUUUCAUGGCCUAAAGAGCUACACUUUUCUUCUCUUCUCUCACUUUCUCGAUGCUGUUUCUUCCUCCAUUGCCUUAAAAGUUUCACAAUUUCAAUGGUAUUUUUGUCAAUCACUCAACUGUGUGUUUCUGGGAAGACGAAGAAGAAGAACAAGAGUGUGUGAUUGAUUGAUUGAUUUAUUCUCCUCUGAUUGAUUGAUUUUUUUUUUUUCUUUCCGAAAUGGCAUUUUGGUGCAUGUCAUUUCUUCUCAUGGUCUGGUUUUUAUCGAAUUCUGACUUCUGUGAAGCUCAGCUAAGCGAUGAAGCCACAUUGUUAGCCAUUAAUAGAGAGCUUGGAGUUCCUGGAUGGAGUAGCAAUGUCACUGACUAUUGUACUUGGGUUGGGCUCAAGUGUGCUGCCAACAACUCCUUUGUUGAAAGCCUUAAUCUCUCAGGGCUUCAGCUUAGAGGUAAUCUCACUCUAAUCUCUGACCUCAGAAGCUUAAAGCAUCUAGAUCUUUCUGGUAACAACUUCGAUGGACCAAUUCCUGCAUCUUUUGGCAACCUCUCUGAGCUUGAGUUUUUAGAUUUGUCUCUGAAUCGUUUUGUUGGCGAAAUCCCUGUUGAGUUUGGUAAGCUUAGAGGCCUUAGAGCAUUCAACAUUUCUAAUAACUUGCUUGUGGGAGAGAUACCUGAUGAGCUAAUGGUGCUACAGAGGUUAGAGGAGUUUCAGGUCUCUGGAAAUGGCUUAAAUGGUUCUAUACCUCACUGGGUAGGGAAUCUGAGCAAUCUCAGGGUGUUUACAGCUUAUGAGAAUGAUUUGGUUGGUGAGAUACCAAAUGGGUUAGGUCUGGUUUCUGAAUUGGAAUUGUUAAAUCUCCACUCAAACCACCUUGAGGGGAAGAUUCCAAGGGGGAUUUUUGAGAAAGGGAAGCUGAAAGUUUUGGUCUUGACACAGAAUAGAUUGACCGGUGAACUCCCUGAAGCAGUAGGAAACUGCAGCGGCCUCUCGAGCAUUAGAAUUGGUAACAAUGAGCUUGUGGGAGUCAUUCCGAGGACAAUUGGAAACAUUAGUGGACUUACCUACUUUGAAGCAGACAAUAACAAUCUCUCAGGUGAGAUUGUUGCAGAGUUCUCGAAGUGUUCUAAUCUCACUCUGCUGAAUUUGGCAGCAAAUGGGUUUGCUGGAACCAUUCCAGCAGAGCUUGGCCAGCUCAUGAAUCUUCAAGAACUGAUUCUCUCAGGUAAUAGUCUCUUUGGGGAAAUCCCUAAGUCGUUUCUUGGACAUGGAACCCUUAACAAGCUUGAUUUGAGCAACAACAGACUAAACGGCACCAUCCCAAAGGAAAUCUGCAGCAUGCAGAGGCUUCAAUAUUUGCUCCUUGAUCAGAAUUCCAUAAGAGGAGACAUACCUCAUGAGAUAGGAAACUGUGUGAAGCUGCUUGUGCUCCAACUGGGUCGAAAUUACUUGACAGGAACCAUUCCUCCCGAUAUUGGUCGCAUGAGGAAUUUGCAGAUAGCACUCAACUUAAGUUUCAACCAUCUGCAUGGAUCAUUGCCUCCCGAGUUAGGAAAGCUCGACAAGCUCGUGUCAUUGGAUGUCUCUAACAACUUGCUCACAGGAUCCAUACCACAACUACUAAAAGGUAUGAUGAGUUUGAUCGAGGUUAAUUUCUCAAACAACCUCUUGAGUGGUCCAGUGCCAGUUUUUGUUCCUUUUCAAAAGUCUCCAAAUUCGAGCUUUUCGGGGAAUAAAGAGCUUUGUGGAGCGCCAUUGAGCUCUUCUUGUGGAUACUCUGACGAUCUUGAACAUUUAAGAUACAAUCACAGAGUCUCCUACAGGAUUGUGCUUGCAGUGAUUGGUUCUGGUAUUGCUGUCUUUGUAUCAGUCACUGUGGUUGUUCUUCUCUUCAUGAUGAGGGAGAAACAAGAGAAAGCAGCAGCUAAAAACGUUGAUGUUGAAGAAAACAUUGAGGAUGAGCAACCAGCGAUUAUAGCGGGAAAUGUCUUCCUUGAGAAUCUAAAGCAAGGAAUUGAUCUUGAUGCAGUUGUGAAAGCAGCUAUGAAGGAGUCAAAUAAACUCAGCACAGGAACUUUCAGUUCAGUUUAUAAAGCCGUUAUGCCUUCGGGGAUGAUUGUUUCAGUGAAGAAACUCAAGUCUAUGGAUAGAGCUAUAACUCAUCAUCAGAACAAGAUGAUCAGAGAGCUGGAAAGACUCAGCAAACUUUGCCAUGAACAUUUGGUUAGACCGAUCGGGUUUGUUAUAUAUGAAGAUGUUGCUCUUUUGUUGCAUCAGCAUUUACCUAAUGGUAACUUAACUCAGCUGAUUCAUGAGUCCACCAAGAAACCUGAGUACAAACCUGACUGGCCAAUGAGAUUGUCCAUAGCUGUUGGGGUAGCAGAAGGUUUAGCAUUUCUCCACCAUGUUGCCAUCAUUCACCUCGACGUUUCCUCAAGCAAUGUCUUGCUAGACUCUGGUUACAAAGCCGUGCUUGGGGAGAUCGAAAUAUCAAAACUAUUGGAUCCCUCCCGAGGCACCGCAAGUAUUAGCUCAGUUGCAGGGUCCUUUGGCUACAUUCCUCCAGGUAUAAACUCUUAAUUCUUUUGUUACCAAUAAUUUCAUUAAAAAUCCAACACUUUCCCUUGUUUUAUUCCAGAGUAUGCAUACACAAUGCAAGUUACUGCACCGGGGAAUGUUUACAGCUAUGGAGUUGUGUUGCUUGAGAUUCUAACCUCAAGAGCGCCAGUCGAAGAAGAGUUUGGUGAGGGGGUCGAUUUGGUGAAAUGGGUCCAUGGAGCUUCAGCAAGAGGAGAAACACCGGAACAGAUACUUGAUGCCAAGCUUAGCACCGUGUCCUUUGCUUGGAGGAGAGAGAUGCUUGCAGCUCUAAAAGUUGCAUUGCUUUGCACAGACAUCACGCCUGCAAAAAGGCCAAAGAUGAAGAAAGUAGUUGAAAUGCUUCAAGAGGUUAAGCAAAUGAAAUGAGAUAAUGAGUGAUGAUAUAGUUUCCUAUAUAUGCGUGCUUUUCCUCUGUGUAUUAUAUAGAGUAUUAUGAUGAAUUGAUCGCUUAUGGUUCCAAUUACUGAAAUUAUAAAUUAGAUCAUAUAUAGAAGAACCAAUGUACAUCUGGGGGAAACUGUUCAUCAAGCCUUGUUGUGGAAUCAAAAAAAUCUUUAGAUUACAAGACCACGUGAAAACCAGAUGGCCUCUUUCAAUUUUUUUACAAAUCACACCAAAAAGAAACAAAUGAACUGGACAAAAGAAUAAGUGAAAAAGCAAAAGAGGAGAUGGGAAUUAAAAAAACCUACGAGGAAUGAUCUAAGUAUAGCACGACGGAGGUAAUUCCGAUUAAUGAUGCUAAAGAUUCUAAAUACGCAACUCAAGACUUUGAAGACCAAACAAACCUAGCUUUGUUAUGUUUUGUUUGAGUUCUUGACUGGAAUUCAAAGCCAAACAUGGUUUGGAUCUUGCCGAUUAUCAACAGCCAGCAGCUUUAAGGAAAUUGUCGUAAGGGCUUGAGGCUGGUAAUCUAAAUGCUUGUUGGUUAUUUUGUAGUUCUGCAAAGCACUGUGUCUGAAUAGUUCCCACUGGAGUUCUUGGCGAUUUCAUGUCGAAUUCUUUCACCAGUAAAGGGACUUCGACCUAAGCAAAUUUUAUUAAUCAGUAGAAAAAUGAUUAAAUUAUUAUCGUGGAAGAUGAAACCAGAGGCUGAGAUUGGUUUCCAAGCAAAUAGAUUAUCAGAAUUCAGUAAUUUAUAGCUAGGGCCUAGGGGCAUUACAUACCUCGGUAUAAAAUGUUGAAUUGAUCAUAGGAUGAAAAGUUGCGGUCGUGAUCUCUUCAUCAUGCUGACGUGGAGAGCAGUUAACAGAACUGUCAUGUCGCAGCUGAGAACUCAAAAGACUUGAGAUCUUCUGCUGUUUUCCCAUUAAUAGAUUCUCACAAUGAAGCGUCAUUUCUUUGUAUGAAGCAUCAGCUGCAGUAUGAAAAGAAAUUCUACCCACUUGACGUGUUGUCUCAACGACCUUCGAAAAACAAAACAAGUAUUUUAGUAUGUUACUUUGGUGAUGACUUUGCAAUUUAAUUUCUAUUAAGAAGGCACAUAUAACUUACAGAUUCUAGAAUUUGAUUGACGGUCAGGAGGUCUGGGAUUUCAGAAAAUGUUACAGGAUUAUUCUUUGUUACGGUUUCAGAGCCAUCUCCAAAUUCUUGAUCCUCGUGAGAGAAGAGUGCCGCGUCCUGAAGACACAGACACAACAUAUUUCAAUAAGAUGUUCCAUCUCAAGGUUUUUAGAAAACUAUGGGAAGCAGAAGAAAUUGUUACCAUUUUUUGAGGUUUAACAUCUCCAGAAUGGGUUUUCUGGUUGUCUUCUAAAAACCGGGUUCCAAGUGGACAUGCAUCAUCUGGCAUGAAUUCAGUGAGUAACUGCUCCCGCAUUUUGUCCAUUUCAGACUGGAUACAGUUGACUCUUUGUUAGUUUGCUGUGAUUAUCAAUUGAUUUACCAGAAUAUCGAAUGCUACCUGGGGUAGAGUAAUUUAGUUGGGAAGUUGUAACAGUAAACACUUACAUUGCACAUAUCUUCUAAGCUUUUGACAAUUUCAUAGACGAGUGUUCCUCUGCUAUGCUCAGUGGAGACUGCUAUGUUGGAAAGACAAUCUAAAGCUGAGGAAUCAUCUCUUUCGCAUCCGUAAGCAACUUUUAGCUGAUCUGAAUUUACAGCCUUCAACUUGUGAUCGUCAACCAAGUGCAAGAAUGGGUCGAGCUGAAUCAGGCAAAAGAGGAAGUUACAACAAAAAGAGGGAAGAAAUUUUUCUCUGUAUCGUGCAAUAAUUCAACGAGAAACAAAAACAUCAACGUGGCAACAUUUUCACCAGAAUGAUCAACGUACCCUUGGUCCCUGAAGUGCUACUUUUGUAAAAUCCGCCAGAGAAAAAAGAUUGAAUGCUUUUGAAGAAAAGAGAACCAUUGAUGCAGCCAGAGUAAAGAGUGACCUUCGUCGAGAUGGAGGAAGUGGUCCUGAAAUAGUAAAAAUAAGGAUCUACAUCAUAGUUUCCAUACCAAAACCAAGGAUAAAGGUUCAACUCAGGGAGGAAACAAAACACAUGGAAGCUCACCUCCUUCCAUUAAAGAAAUAUCUCGCAAAGAAAGUGCCAUUUGGAAACUUCGAAUUAAAGCUUCGUGACUUGAGUUCUGAAAGAUAAGAAUUUUAUGAUAUAUUAAAUAAAAUUGUGUCAGCAGAUAUAUCAUAAGAAGAUCUAGUGAGGAGGCUUUGGUCAUAGAUCAUAUAAACAAAAAAGAAACACUCAGAUGCAGAGGUGGCAAAAGUAUUGAGAUAUGGAAUAUAUGUUACCUUAACACGAGAGAACAACAAUACAAGACUGUAGGUGUUAGCAAUCGCCUCAUAAUUGUCUGGUGUAUUUGCUGGAGAUAUGGAUUGCGCCCAGAUUGAUGAAAGCAAAAGACCUAUCUGGUGACUACUUAGCCUUAUAUAGACAGCAUCCUGAGGAAAAUGUAAGAAAUAAAAUUAGAGUGGAGAUUGAUCCAAUGUGUACCUAAGAAUUGGAAGCAUAUAUCAAGAAUUUUAUAUAAUUAGAACUGUAGUUAGAGUAGUUCAAGAGGCUAUUUUGGAUUCAUUUAUUACAUAUACUCUUGGUCCCAUCCUAAAUCUAUGUUGAGAGCCUUGGGGAUAUUUUCUGACUUACAUACAUAUAGGCCUAUGGGGCCACAUUUAAGGUCAGUAAGAAAUGUACUAAUCUUAUAGUAAGUUUUUUCACACAAAAAAAAAGGUUGCAAGGAUGUACCAGCUCAGAGUUUAAAAGAUCCACAGAGUUAUCUUCUAGUGAGGUCACUGGUUGAUUCCAAGUGCUAUAUGCCUGACUGUAUGAAGAUUUCAAUCUGUCAAGGAUUUCCCCCCUAUUGCUUCCAGAUUCUUCCGCAGGCAUUUCGUUUUGGCUCUGAUCAGAAGUUAACAUUGAUGAAAAUUUAUCCUUCUUCAGCUUCUCGAAAAGGGCUGCUGAGGAGGAAAAGACAGACGCGGUCCUUGAAAGUGAACGAGGAAGACCCAUUCCUUUCUUAAGAUCAGUAGUGGUCGAGGAAGGGCGUGGGCAUACUGAGGUUGGUACCAGCACAACAGAAAAUAUACGGUGUGCGCCAAUCCGUGUUUUAUGAUCUGGAUGGACCAUAGCUUGAAGUAACUGAUGGAAUAAGGCCUCGGGAAAAGCCUGAAAUGAAAAAAGUAAUAGAAGCUUAGCAAUUUCAUUAAUAUUGGUCUGAUCUCUCAACGACAAGAAAAAAAAAUACUAGAUGUUACAGGGAGGUUACCUUGUUUUGAUAUGACAGAUUUGGUAAAGAGGCUAUAAUCUGAGCGGUGCGAAAAACAGCAGCAAUUGUGGUUCUUGCUACGUUUGUGACAGCUGAAAUAUUCUCCAACAUCAUAGCCAUAGCAUCUAGAAUUGGGCCAGCGUCUCCAACCUUAGCAAUCGACAGAUCAGUCUCACAUCUCUUUAAAAAAGAAUAUACUGAAGAGGAAGAACUCGCUCUGAGAGUGAUAAUAAUUUGGAUAUUAGUAAUAUACCUUUUUUGUCAGUUGGACGAGGCACUUAUCAACAGCUACACUGACCAAUCUGUUACAGUUUGCUGCGUCAGUUCCCAGAUUUGCUUCAUCUAGAGAAGAAUGCAUGCAUUUUCUCAAGUGCCUCAUGAUAUCGCUUAUUGCGCUGACUAUUGCUGCUGAGUACUCAACUUUUGCAAUUUCAGCAAGGGAAAAAGUAACCUCUAAAAUGUUGAGCUGCAUACUUGGCUGUUUAAGCACACUUUUAUGAUCAAGGUGUUUAAUCAACAUAGACAGUAUAAAGUGUGUUCUUUGCCCUGCAAGAUUGCAGAACUAUUUCAGAGCACUGAUCAUUUAGGAAGGACUGAAAAAAAAAAAAGAUCAGAGCUUCAUACCAGAUAUUUCCAUUAAAAACUGCAGAUCCCUUAAAACAGGGAAUGCAAUCGAAUUCUCUUUUGACCAUAGAUAUCCCUCAUCAAAGUAACGGAACACAGACUCAAGUAUACGUCUCAUGGUUGUGGCCUCUUCACCUAGCUUGGCCAUGUUAUAUAGGCAAACCUUGGACCAAAAGCUAGGGUCCAAGGAAUCUUCCCUGAAAAAGAAAAGAUAUGUUGAAGAGAAGAAAAGAACCCAAAAAGGCAAACAUAAACACAACUGACGUGAGAAGAAAUUACAUUUUGACAUUUAGUUCACCCUUGUCAUUCACAACUGUUCUCCAAGAAGGAACAUUUAUGAGGGAAUCUGCAUAAGCGACAUGACCUUCAUUUUUCAAGACUUCAUCCACCCACUUUCUGCCACUAUCAUUAGCAUUUGUUGAUAUUUUGGGAUGACCAUAAUUUUCCAAGACUGCUGAGACAACCUGCCACACAAAUAUUGAAUUUAUCAAUUAACAGAUAGUAACAUCUACAACCUACAACUCUACUAAGAUCCAAUUCUAGCCAUGCGAUCUCUAUCCACAUUUCUAUAAAUCAGCCAUUACUGGUAGAUUGUUAUGGUAUUCCAAACUUUUGGCCAAAAAAAAUUAGAAAGGAAAUCUGACAGAGUAUCCUUCACUUCGUCUAUUGUUAGAUACCAAAUAUCAAUUGCUUUCGUUGCAGUCAGAAAUAACAGAUCAUAAUAUAUAGGAAUCCCGAAACCAAAGUUUACCUGUGAAGAUAACAAAAGAAACUAGUUCAUAGCCUGAGAUUUACUUACAUUGUCAAAGUCGCUGGGGAUAUGAGAGUAUUCACCCAUCAGCCAAAUCUGGAAAUAGAUAAACGGACCAGCAUGCAUCAGAAGAUACUUCUAGAUUCACAAUAAUGAAGAAUAGUAUUUACAGAAGCAUAAAAACAUAACCGUAAUUACCAUCGCUGAAAGCGCUUGAAGUCCUGCUGCACGCAGACUCCGCAAUCUGUCAUCAUCCCCACCUUCCAGUCCUAAUUGGCACAGCUUUGGGAGAAAGCCUUCUAAGUUAAACAGGGAACUGCCAUCCUUCUGAGAAAUUUGGUAGCAAUCAUGCUAUAUUAUUAUUUCUUCUUUCCUUAACUAAUUUAUCAGAUAGCACCCGAUACGAGGCUACAAGAGAAUUCUAUCAAAUAUAUAAGAGGCUGACCUGGUUAUUCACAAAUUCGAAAAGAGACUGACAUCCAAUUAUCUGCAUUUCAUCUUGUCGAGUUUGAUCCAAAAGAGCUUGCACCGUCCUUAGAAAGCCACUAGAAAAAAGAGGCCUGAAGAAAAGAACAAAGGAAAAAAAAACCAUGUUACCUAUACAUGCCGAAAAAAUACUCAUGCUUCAAUAAAGGUUACAGUUAUGGUUAAAUCUCUUGCCUUCUUAUGCUAAGCCAAAAAUUAUCUUAGACAAAAGAGAACAUUUGAAGUGUUUGUAAAGAAAGCAAAAGAAGGAUGACCUCACAUUUGCUCCUUACAAGUGACCAGAAGCCUUCUGUAAAUGCACAUAGCUAUCUUUGCCAAGUGGAAAUUCUCAUUCCUCAAUUCCUUGUAACAUCUUUGUUCGAGAGAAUCUGAUAUCUGGAAAAUCAUAUAAUUUAACAACAGAAAACUAAAUUUGGGAACAAGAAAAUCUGAAAACAUUGCUAUGACGAGUGAUCUGACUCAAAUAUAUGAACUUAUGAAAACCAGAUGUCAAAGAAUUGCUAAUAUUCCAGUCCAGCAGAAGAGUUUUUUUUUAUGAAUAAUGUUGUAGACUUGGCAUUGGGUAAUUUAUACCUUUGGCAUUCGCACAGCGUUCUUUGCAGCAUAUUCACAUAGUUUUCCUAUCUUCCGGUCAUUUGGGCCUUCAUCCUGUCAGAAAUUUAAGCAGUGAUAAGUUAAACCAACCCACCAAGAAAACCAAGAGGGAAGCUCCAGUUUUCUAUUAUACUGUGUCACAUUCACUAGAGAUUGACUCAAAAGCGAAAUGAAAUGCAGAUAAACAAACUUUAACAUAGAAAAGGGAAAGGACAUAAGGUUAAAAACAAAAAUUUCUGGCACCCUGAAAAAAAUAGAAACACAGAUUGCAUAAUUACUCAUGAUUUCAUCAUUGAAAUGUCACUGCAGCCAUAGAGAGGCUGACUUAACAACUAUGGUGCUUCCAAUAGCAAUGGCAAUGUAUGAGAAUUAUCAACUCAAGCAACCAUCAGUCAUAUCCUCAGUAAUCAAAGACAAUACUUAAGAAACGAGAAGGAAAUCAAAAUCAAACUUUCUUUAGACUAAAGAGAGAGGGAGAGAGAAAAGGGAACAAGAGAAAAUAGAAACCUGAUUACGAGGGAAAAUAUCAGCAAUGAGCUUCUUGUACCUCUUGACAGGCUGUCUAGACCUUGCACGCAGGGCGGGGCAAAGAAUGCAAAGGCUACCACAAACUGGCAAAACUUGCCUCGAAAUAACACCCGAGACUGAGCUCAUUGCCUCUACUCUCAGAUUCUCACCCAAAAAAAAUAAUGAUCAAUCAAAAAAUCCUGAUGAAUCUAUGAAUACGUGUAAUCCUCCCUUCCCUCUUGAUCCACCGAAAAAGCCCUAAAGCUUCCUCGGGCAAGAAGGUAAACAGAGCUCGAUGAUUAAAACGAGUCACUCCUUAAAACACACAAGCUCUUCUUCCUGAAAUUAUCCCAAAAAAAAAAAGUUCAGAAUUUCAAAAACGACUUCUAUAACCCCCCGAAAACGAAUUUACCCAACAAGUCUGAUGAUCAAAAAAAUUUAACAAACCCAGAUGACAAAGUACCCAGAUUGAUCACGAAUUUCAAUGUAAUGCUGCAAAAACUAAACAUCAAUUUACCUCAGAUCAAAGCACAAUUAAGCCAGCCGAUGACUGAAAAAAAUUGAUCGGAAAACUCGGAACCCAACGAAGAUUGUUUCUCUCUCAGUAGAAUGUAGUCACCAGAUCGUCCGGCGAAGCUUUGAGCUUUGAGCUUUGAUUAAUUUAAGUUUCCCUUUCCUCAGAUACGUUUCAACGGCACGACGCGGGUUCCACCUUCUGCCGUUUCGUUGCUAAUUCCUUUUUUUUGUUUUUUUUUUUUUUUACAUUCUCUUUUAUAAUAAUCUUUCAGAUAAAUCAUCUCUUAAGCUCAGCCGUCGGAUGCGAAUACCAGCGGCUAUGGUUAUAGAACGUAUUAUUUUAUUUUAAUUAUUUUUCUUCUUUGUUGAAAAUUGCUGAGGUAGUUAUUGUAUUUUGGCUAGCCAGCUCAUACAGUGCAAAUAAAGCAAAUUAUCUUCUUAAAUUAUUCUAUAAUUAGUUUUUUUUUUUAAAUACUCACACGUUGUGUGUGGGCAUGAUGUGGAAAAAAAAUUCUGAAUACAUUCUUAGAGAAGAAUAAUUAUAUUUUGCUGAUUAUCUUUUAAUGUCCUCCUGAUAAUAAUCUACAGUAAUAGAGUCGAAUGAUCCGGUGUAACACUGUGAGUCGAAUGUUAUAUAGAUUAAAAUUAUUCAUUAUUAAACUUAAAUCGAAUUCUUUCGACAAGAACACGUUUUUGUAUUUAAUUAAAAAAAUUGGUACACCACUGAUCACAUCAUGGAGUUUAAUGCACCGUUAAGUUAGCUGCCACUAUAAUUAACGUCGUUAGUUGCACAUGACGUUCGUUCACAUUGGGUUGGCGAUCUGUUUUUUUCUUUUAUUUUUACCGCGGAAAGCGGGUAAAAGUUUCCCGCGGAGAACUCGCCAAUGAUACAAGUCAAAGUCAGUAUAGUAAAUUUAACGGCGACCAUUGGUUAGGUAAGUUUAAGAAAGAGUAGUGUCUAUCUACAUAAACCACACCACCCAAGGCCAAGGAUAUAAACUCUAAAGGUUGGUCUACAAUUCUGGACAUGAGUUCUUUGACUUUGAAAGAAGAAGUUGUUCAAAGAAUAUGUCUCUUUUUUCUUUUUUUUUUGGUGUUCAAAACCAGUCAAAAGAGGAGGAAAAAAAAAUACAAUGUUGAAUACUUUCAGAAUAAAUGUAAUAUGUGGCUUAUGAACGCCUCUGUUCCUAUGCAUUAGAUGUACCUCGGUGAUCCCUUUCAAUAUGGUUCACAAGAUCCACAGGAUCACGGAAUCCUCUGCUACAUUUGGGGCAAACAUCGAUCGUCACUUUGCCAUGACUCUGUAUCUUGUUCCUCUCAUGUGUUUUCUCUACAUGUUCCACGAGAGUAGUAACUGAAGAGAAUUUCGCAUUACACUGUGGACAAAUCUCUAUGAUGCCAUCAUUGCUGCUGCUUGAAAACUGUAGCUUCUGGCUUAUGUCGUUACCGAGUCUGCUGAUUCCUGCUUCUGCUGAAGAUAAGAGAUUAGACCAUCUCGAAGAAGAGGAUGAUGAAGUUGAUGCAGAAGCUUUGUUGGGUCUUGCUGUUUUAGCUUCUUUUCUGCUGGUACCACUACUCAAGAAACCCAUGAAUGGGAGUUUUCUCGGUCCAGGGCAAGUGUGAUCAGGUCCAAAACGGUGUUUCAAGCAGUGAUCGAUAUUGCAAUCCCGGCACUUGAUGGUGUUGGAGAAUGUCAGUUGCUCCUUGCAUCUUGGAACAGGACAUUUCUUCUUCUUUGUGGCUUUUUCGUAGUUUGAUGGGUCACAGUCGGUGUUGACAUGUUUCUCCCAAGUUAUGUUUGGGUCUUCGUUUGGGUUUAAGCGGACUCCUUUAGCACAGAGGGGGCAUAUAACCACAGUCACAUCUUCUCUGUCGCCUUUUGGACAACUAUGUUUCAUAUAGCUUCGAUGAUCCAAACAGAACACCUGUAAAAAACCAUUAUUAAACUUCUCCUCCAAACCAAAGAAACGUUUUGAUAAAAGAUUCAGAGAACCCAAGAGCGAGAACAGAAGCUAGGAACUGAAGUUCAAAUCUUCAAUGGCAAUUUUUCUAAUAGACACAUGUGGGAACAAACAACCAAACUAAGGAAGCACACAAGAAUCAUUGCAUGUGUUUUCCUGAAUCAGGAUCAUUAGCAUUUGUUUAGAACAGAAUGAUUCAGAAAUAAGAAUCAAGAAACUGGACACUGUAAAUGUGGAAGAACACUACCUAACUCAAUCGAAAGUGCUAAGUAGUUGCCAAAUGCUGCUAAGUAAAGAUCCAAAUGGAAUAUAACUUAACAACUAACAACAGUCAACGAAAAGGAUUUGCAGUGAGAUAACGUGGAGAUUGAAAAUCCAUUGAACUCAAUCCUAUACCAAACCAGAGGCAAGUAAUCUACAACAGAAAAGGGACAAUUUUUCUCGCGUAGAUUCCAGGGACCGAAGAUAUGGGAUUCGGAAGUCUUAAGAGUCUAUACACCAUUCAAUUCGCGUCAAACACAAAAUAAAUAAAACAAGAUUUUUUUGCAUGUGAGAUUCCAAACAGAGAGGGAAAAAAAGGAACCUGGAGGCAACGGUCGCAGGUGAAGGGCAAGAAAUCGAUCUGCUUGCAAACAUCAACGGAGCAGUGUUUCCCCAGAUCUGGAAACUCCGGAGUCCCCAUUCUUUCUCAACCCAAGAAAGAGCUUAACCAGCAAUUCAAAAAUACAACCCAAACAAAACACUUCCGACAAGAUAAUUUAGGAUCCCAAAAAAUAAAUGAAAUAAACUCUUAGGGUUUCUCGGGCGAGAGAUAGAGAGAAAGAUUCUGCGGAUUCUGAUGAGCUGAAAUUUCGCCAGAGCUUUUUAAAAUAUACAAUUCUUUAGGAAACGUCAACUAGGAUAUUUCUUCUUCUUUUCAAAGUCUCUCUCUUUUCCCCUGUCCUAAUCUACAACUCCUAGAACCAAAUCAAAUAAAAAGUGAAGACUUUAUAUCGUUCACAAAUUUUUACAAAACCAGCAACUUUAUUUUCCAAGAAUCAGAAUUGACUUUAGCUUUCCUUUAUCAUAUUAGUUCUAUCUCAUGUAUAUAUGUUAAAUGAAUCCAAGCACGCUUUAUCACAUUGGUUCAAUAUUUGUAGAGGUGGAAAUUAAACUGGCACCAAGAAAAGCUGGAUUUAAACCUUUUUUCAAAACUAGAACAUUAAUAAGAUCCAUAACAUGAAAACUGAGCAAAAUAUAAAUCGUUUGGAAGAGAUGAAAACCAUACGGUGCACAAUCCAGCAAAACAUAUACUACCCAAAGGUUCAACCAAAAUUAACUCAUCAAGGAUAAAUCCAAACAGAGCACAAGCUUGGAGCUUUAUCUAGGCUUGGUCUUCAACCUCGGUCACGACUUUGACAGGAACAUCCUUGGACGCCAAGAGAUCUGUGUACUCCUGGUAUGGGGAUUUCUGGAAUCUCGUCUCUUUCCAGAACUCUGGUGUAAGGAAUCCGUAUGUCUUCUGAAGGCAGUCGAAUGUAGCCUGCAAAAACAUGAAACCAAUUUAGCAAAGCAAUACUCAUAUUCUUUAGAGUACUCCAGAUAGGUAUAAACUCACAAGUAGCAACUAAGCAAACACAUUAUAUGACAAAGUACGGCAUCUCAUAUUCAGAUAAUGACAAGGAUUGACAAGAUACAAAAGAUAUAUAAAAUCAGACAAAUGUCAGUCAAUUUGGUAUACUAACAGCAACGACAGGGAAGCCGAACUGAAUUCAACAACUCCUUAAUAUAUCAACAGCAAAUAUUUACAUAUUGAUAAUCCAUUGCAGAUUAGAAGAAAAAGAGACACACUUUAUUACUUUCUUGUGCUUUAAGAUUGAGCCCCGUUAUGUUUUUGGGAUACACAAUCUAUAAACCAUUUUGCAUAUUGAAGCUGUUAAUUAUUAAUAUAGAAAUAUUCCUUUUGUAUAGAUUUGUGUAAGAUCCUUGUAUAAAAAUACAUUUCGCAACAUUGUAGUUAGCUAGCUAUACUUUUACAAUUUUGGUGUGUUGCGAUAUACUUACCUAUUAAUAUUAUUAUUGAGACAAAUUCCUAAUUUAACUUUGACUUUACUCUGUUUCUAAAGUAGAUCUCCCCCUUCUAGGUUGGAAUGAAACCCUAGCUUUAAGAGCCCUAUAUUUAUAUUAGCUUGUAACUCUUAAUUUAUUCAGCAGCAGUUUUGAAAGAGACGUAUCUCUCACAGCCCUAUUACACACGUUCCUUGGCCAUGGCUCCUACGGCUCAGAAGGCCGAUGCGCAUACACUCAAGCGAGAUAUUCACCAGUGUGCAACGGCGGUGCAAGCUCUCGCCAUCCAGGAGGAGGAUUACAUCAAUGUCCAGCCACAUGAAGAAUGCAAUAAUGAAUACAACCCCUUUUCAGAAGAGCAUCGGUUCAAGUUUGAACUCCCGAAAUAUCAUGGCGGACAACCACCGGAAGAGUUUCUCGAUUGGAUCUUCACGGUCGAGGAGACUCUUGAGUUCAACCAUGUACCUAUGGAGCAACGUGUUCCCAUGGUUGUGAUGCGAUUCCGCGGAAGGGCCGCAGCUUGGUGGACGCAACUAAAGGCACAGCGCGCACAGUCGGGUAAACCUAAAAACAUGUCGUGGGACAAGCUGAAGAAGAAGAUGCGUAAGAUGUUCGUACCAUUCAACUAUGAUCAAGUGAUGUUCCAACGCUUGAACAUGUUGCAACAAGGACAGGGUUCAGUUGAAAGAUAUUCCACCCAAUUCUUUUCGCUUUUGGCGCGUGUUGACCUGCAAGAUUCGGACCAGCAAAUAGUGGCUCGUUUCGUUGGUGGCUUGCGGAAAAAUAUCCGAGACCAUCUUAACUUGCUGUACUGCCCUCUCACUGUUGCGGAGGCUCAUCAACAGGCCCUCGCCAUGGAAGCUCAAACAACUAAGAAAGACGACCACGGCUUUUGGCCAAAAACUUUUGUAGAAAUAGCUCCAUGGUGUUUCGCCGCUGCCUUGUCCGUUGUUUGGCUUUCGGCCCUGAGACGGUAAGACGCCAAGAACAAGAAGACUCCCAUGCAGCCCUAUAAUUUAGUUUUUGUUUUUUUCAUUAAUUAUAAUUCGGCAGCGUAUGAAAUUUAUAAUUAACUCACUUUGGACUAGUACUGAAGUUAUGAGAUAUAUAUCAUAAUAUAUUUGUGUAUUGGAGUGUUUUGGUAUCUCCUUACGUACGUUGAACCCCAUAUUAUUAUAUCAUCAAGGUUUUAUGCGGCAAGAUAUAUCAUGUCGAAGCUAGGGUCAAUAUAUAUAUAUAUUCCCCCUUAUACAAUUAAUAAACCUAAGAAAGAACGACAAAUUCUGCAUGUUCGUAGAUAGUAUAACUUGAUUCAUGGUCUUAAUUUACUAAGAAGUCAUAAAUUGCAUAAUGUUUCAAGUUUAAGGUGAGAUUUCAAAAGGUUUUGACUUUUGAAUCCUUUAUAAACUAAUGUGACAAUACGUAUCCUUGUCUAAUAAAGGCACAUAUUAAUCUGCUUAGCAAAAAAAAAGGCACAUAUUAAUAUAUCCAUUUUAUAAGCACGAGGUGAAAGCUACUGAGGAUAGCAGAAUCAGGGUCGAGAACUUGGACGAUAAGCCCAAAAAUAUUCAUAAGCAUCGAGCCACCUUCUCGUACAAGUCACGGGGCCAGUUCCGGUGAGUGUUGCUUGCAAGAAACCCAGCAAUCUGCGGAUAGCGACCAGAGGCCCAAGUUAUCAUGACUUUGUAAAAUAGACUCAAUCAAGAUUAUUAUGAAUUUGUUAAUUCAUGUACCUUGGAUCUCAUGGCACGGAUUGAUCCAUCAGUGUCAGGUACAUUGUCCAAACACGUGAGAUAUUCUGAGACCUGAAGGACUCGUCUUCAUCUGCUGGAACUUUAAAUGGUAAUAGCCAAGCCAAGAUAAUGAAAGAAAUGUUAUAUAUUACAGACUCUCAGAUUGUGCUAUGGGGAUGGCUCAGUUACCUAACAACUAACCUAGCAAAUGAAACUGGGAAUACCUGAUCCGGAACUUUCUCGCCAAGCUCUCCUUUCUCUGCACAAACCUUCUCCUUCCCCUGCCUCCUGAAUUGGGCAAACAGAGAUAAAACUCUCAACUUAUUCCGAGAUCAAAAUCGAUUUAUAGAAGAAAUACAAAAAAGGAAGAAAGCAAAAUCAACAUUGACAUCGAGAUUAAUAUUCCUAAAUCUUUUUACCUGCAUGAGCAGUCUUUCAUCUUCCUCCAGCUUUAGUGUCUUCUGUAAAGAGUUAAAACAAAGGGUUAAACAAAUUGUUUGAGAUUGGUGUAUUGCAUAUCACAACGUAACAUGCACAAGAAGAUGAUUUCAAGAGAUAAUACAACAAGUGUGUUGUUUAUAUUUUAUACCUUUGCUAGUUGGUCUUCCACGCAGAGCAAGCCUUGGCUUAACUGUGUUUCAAGGGAUCGCAGCUCCGCGAAACUCAGGCUGUUGAUACCCUCACCACUCAGUCUCCUGGGAGUAGAAAACAAAACCCCAUAAGAGCCAAAAUAAAAGGAAACGAAGAAACAUGACAUUCUGGUUACAGGAAGUGGGACAAUGCAUGCUAAUGAGUCAGAAGCUGUACUCUUUCGAGUUCGCUACUUAAAGUCUCAGCAAUUUACAGCUGCAAGAUCCGAAGCUUGUAAGAGCGCAAUGUAAGCAAUAUAUAUCUAUAUGGAGGAGGGUAAGUGCAUAUACAUACCAAUUCUUCAUAAACUUGUUCUUGUAGCCUUUGUUCGGAGCUGUAUCCGUUGCAAAACCCAAAAGACGAAGAAGUAGAAGAAGUCAGGGUUUUUCUUAAACUAAAACCUGACUAACAACUUUGAACCUAGAUGAUCUAUUAGAUUUUCUCAUAACUCAGAUUCUAAGAUCCAAGCUUUAAUAAUAUUCUUAGUACAGUCAGAUAACGAAGGAUAAAAAUUUUGUUAGUACAGUCAGAUAACAAGAAAUAAGAACGCUAAACAGCCCUCUGAAGAUUUUCUGUGUGUAAAGCUCUUUUAUGUCUGGACACUAACCCGAAAGGAGGCACAAAUUCUUUGCAAAUUUCCAACAGAGCCACCAAGAGCAGCCUAGACAGGAUUAAAAAAAGCAAGAAGCAUGUGACUAAGUGAGAAUGAUUAUUGAAAAAUCAUGUAACUUUUUAGACAGCAUCCAACCAUUUGAAGUAGAUGAUAAUCAAUAUGCCAUAUUAUCAAGUACACAAAAAACAAAAAACGAGAGAGAAAUGAAUACUUGUGUCAAGUGACUCUGAAUUGUGUCCAUUAUAAAAUUUUCAUGCCCGAAUUGUUAUUGACGUCUUGCACCUAAGGUGAGGGACAUCCUCUUCGGAACACCCAGUUGAACUGCUGAAUAUUGCCUGGAAGUUUUUUGUCAACAAUCAGAAAUCAUUUGCAUGGAUUUAAAGAAGGCAGGACUAUAACAAUUAUCCUUAGAGAGUGGUUGGCUGGAAGAUAUAGUUUCUGGUAAAAGGAUUACCUGAAGAAGCUGCCAUAUUUUCUUCAUGUUGACAGAUUUUCCGCGAGUAACCUCAGCACCAAGAGUAACACAAGCGUCCUUAAAACACAUAGCAGGCUAUACAAAAGUAAAGAUUGGGAUUACUAGAAAGCACAACCAAACAAUGAAUAUGAGGGUAGCCAGUUUUUAUGGCUGCUGCAUAGAAGGUAGACUUCGACAACUAGUUAAGGAAAUGAAUAUGUACUGAGUUUUAGGACAAGGUAUAGGAAAUCCAUACUCGAAAUGGAAAGCCUCGUUCUCUUGAAGUGUUAAGAUUCUUCACAACCUCUCUAUAGACGUAUGCUUUUUUUUCUCAUGAAUGGGUAUGUUAGCCAGAGCCACAAGUUCUUUACCUGGUGUUGAGGAAACUCGAGGACUUGAAGCCACCGGCACUAGUUGACCAGCAUGAGCCUCUCCUCUUGUAUCAAUCAAAUUCGUUUUAGGUUCUGCUGAGGCUCUGAAGGAAGUCACGUUUUUUUCUUUUUUUCCAAUCCUCCUGUCAAGUCGAAUUCAAAUUGAAUAUUUAGCAUCUAAUACAUCCUGUCACUAAGCAAAUCAUCCAUAUCCAUGAAAAGUCUCUAUUAAAAGAUAACUGCAUAGUAAAAAUGUACAAAAAGAUAACGUUGGUCAUUGAAAUCGAACAAAUCCAAACAAUUUUGGUAACAACAAUAUAAGCAGCGGUUAGGAAUGGAGGAAAAAGAUAUCAGCUACAUAUAACCAAUAAUAGCAUUCUCCAAAUUCACUAUAAUAGGCUGCUCCUCUGUCGAUCUAUAAAAGUGAUAGAACAACUACUCCAAGAAGCAAAAGGGUACUAAUGCUUUGAGGUGUGGAUAAAGUAAUUAACUAAGAAGUCAUCAAGUUAUUCAAUCUAGUGGCAUUUGAAUGAAUUUGUAAGUUAGGAAUGCUAGUUACAAGUGUUAUGAGCUCAAACUACCAGGGGGGAAGGAUGUAAUGGUUCACCUGAAAAAUUUAUCUCUAUAAGUAGGAGAAGGAGCAGAAACUAAAGAGCGGCAGCAAUUAUGGAAUUGUAAGCUACGGCAUCGAUGAUCUAUCAAAAGAAACAGAAGAGCCUUUAAUUGGAGAAAGCAUCAACAAUGCACUGUACGACACAACAUCAGCUCUUAGAAAUGGCUACUUUGCCUAAUCCACAAGAGGGUACUUAACAAAUAUGACUGAGCUAGUUUCCCCAGCCCGUUCGUUCGUCUAGCUCAAAAUGAGAGGACACUAGAUUCAAAGUGGAUAGAUAAGUAAAAAAAUACUCACACUUAAAUAUCUCCUUCAAAACCAAACAUGUUCUGCCUCAGAACGAAUCUCGCAGGGACAGGAACCAAACGGAGCUCUCUUCCGAGCUGCAUCUGGAGAAAGAGGAUAUAACCUCGAUCUCAAAAGAAAAAAGAAAGAACAAAAAAAGGAAAAAGUGAAAGCCUCUACUGGAACUGGAGGGUUUACUAAUUUUAGAGAGUUUAGAGAUUUUCCCACUAUAUAAAAACAAAACAAAAACAACUCGAGAGAGAGCAUCAGUCUUUUGACUCUUUUCCCACAAACACAGACUUGAGAGAGCAUCAGAGCGAUUAGACUCGAGAGAGCAUCAGAGAAAUUUCGAAGGCGAUCAGAGCAAUUUCGAAGGUGUUGGAGAUUUCUGAGAUCGUACCGAGAUUUUCAAUCAUCACAUUCAGAUACCGAGAUCAAUCGUGUUUCAGGUGUGUUUCGGAUUAUGUUCCUGUUCGUUUGGAUCUACUUGAUUUAGGUUUGUAUGGUUUAGGUUUGUAAUCACUAGACUGUGCAUUUUAGUUCUUGAUGUUGGUAAUCUCCGGGAAAAUUACCAAACAAUUUUGGCGGGAAAAUUACCAAACAAUUUCAGAUCUGGUUUGGUUGUGGUUUGGUUGUGGUUUGGUUGUGUCUCAUCGUUCUCUUUUGUUUCACCGACAGCAUGACUGCUCCAGGCAAAAGAGACCUUGACCGUGAGAAGGAGACAACGACUGGUGCUUUGAAUGUCUUCUUUGGCCUCAAUUUGAAAGAGUUUGCUAAAAUUCAAGCCUCAGGUCACCUUAAGCUAGAGACUGUCUCAAAAAAACCAAAACCGGACAAACGUUUCACCGAACCUCUCAUCAUCAGCUGCAUUUUCGCUACUGUCUUUAUUUUUUAGGUGUGAUGUUCACAAGAACUCCCUCCCCACCCUCUGCCUAAAGAAUCAUGCCUCUGCAGCACUUUUUUUUUUCUUUUUUUCUUUUUCUUCUUCCUUCUUUUCUUCUCUGCCUUUUCAUUCUAUGAUCUUGCGUAUCCACCUCAUGACCAGUCUCUACCAGGCACUGGUAUGCCUUCCUUUAUGAAAUGGAUGUUAAAGCUGUUAAUACUUUGACUGUUAGGUGUUUGUUCAAAUUCCCUAGAGAGCUGAGCUACUCUCUUUCUAUUGCCUUUGGAAUUCUCCUUUGUUCCAGGUGUUUCUCUAGAUUGCUAUUUGGGAUUUGACUUUUGGAGAUCUAAGGAAACCAUGGAACCCAACAAGGAAGAUAAUGUGUCACUGGCACCUACAGCUCUAGUCACAGCACCUCCUAGUCUACAAGAUGCUUCAUCUCAGCCAGGUAGCUAACUAGCAUUCAAGUACUUGUUACAUCUAAGAUUACAUGCACUUAACUACUUCACUUUUCUCUGGUAGCGUUUUUUUUUUUUUUGUCUUAUCAAUUAUACUGUUUUGAAGGUUUUUGGUUUCUCAUUGCCUCUAGAUUACAGCUUACUUUGGUCUGCGUAGUCCAUGACUCCAUAUAAUAUUUCCUUCUUCCAAUUCUUAGAGACGUGCUCAGUGUUUUCUUUGGUUUCGUGAUCGUUAGCUCUUUGUAAUUUACGUUUUACAUGUACUAAAACUUCAGGUUUCUCUGCCAUACCACCUGUGGGUCCUCCUUUCUCCCCACCAAUGUCUCCAAUACCACUGAUGCCACAUCCUCCUGUUUUCCUACCUACUACUUUUAGCCCACCUGUUUCACUUAAUGGUGGAGGGAAAACCAGUGACUUGGAUUCUGAUUCAGACGACCAACUUUUUGGGAUAUCUGAAGAGAGUAGGCAGUUCAGUAGACCUCUUACCAGCUGCUCUUCACACACGAUGGGAAAAUACUUGCCACGUGGUAUGUCUCUCUUCUGUCUCCUUCGUACUCUCAAACACAAACUUACAUAUUCUUCACAUUUACUGUUUCUUAUCAAUAACAUACUCCUCCUCUGUUUAGUAAUUGGUUUUUUUUCCUCUGUUUACUAAUUGGUUUUCCUUUCUUUGUCUAGUUCUCUAAGUGGAGUUACUAAACUCUGGGAGAUGCCUCAAGUUACAAACAAGAUUUCUGUCUUUAAGGACCACAAAGAACGUGCGACUAAUGUAGUGUUCAACAGUCGCACGUUCUUUGUGGUCCUUCAAGACAGAAAUCUUGUUUGUAACUUGAGGCAUCUCCCAGAGUUUAGUAACUCCACUUAGAGAACUAGACAAAGAAAGGAAAACCAAUUAGUAAACAGAGGAAAAAAAACCAAUUACUAAACAGAGGAGUAUGUUAUUUUUAAGAAACAGUAAAUGUGAAGAACAUGUAAGUUUGUGCUUGAGAGUAUGAAGGAGAGAGACAUACAGCGUGGUAUAUUUUCCAAGAAUCAGAAUUGAAUUUAGUUUUCCUUUUAUCAUUUAUUAUUAGUUCUAUCUCAAGUAUAUGUUAAAUAAAUCCAAGCACGCUUUAUCACAUUGGCUCAAUAUUUGUAGAGGUGGAAAUUAAACAGAAACCAAGAAAAGCUGGAUUUAAACCUUUUUUCAAAACUAGAACAGUAAUAAGAUCCAUAACAAUGAAACUGAGCAAAAUAUAAAUCGUUUGGAAGAGAUGAAAACCAUACGGUGCACAAUCCAGCAAAACAUAUACUACCCAAAGGUUCAAACAAAAUUAACUCAUCAAGGAUAAAUCCAAAUAGAGCACAAGCUUGGAGCUUUAUCUAGGCUUGGUCUUCAACCUCGGUCACGACUUUGACAGGAACAUCCUUGGACGCCAAGAGAUCUGUGUACUCUUGGUAUGGGGAUUUCUGG
rnacentral:lncRNA from 1 species